UGAUGGGAUCUCAACCUCUACAGGGAGCACAACCUCCAUGCCAUAUACAAGAGAGAAAGGGGUUUCCCCUGUUGAAGUGCGGACAAAUGUACGAUAACCAUGCAAAGCAAAAGGCAGCAUCUCAUGCCAAUCUUUGUACGUAACAACCAUCUUCUGAAUAAUUUUCUUGAUGUUCUUGUUAGCAGCUUCAACAGCCUCAUUCAUCUUGGGUUUAUAGGGAGAAGAAUUAUGAUGUGCAAUCUUGAACUCGCUACACAACUCUUUCAUCAUCUUAUUGUUCAAGUUAGAUCCAUUAUCAGUAAUGAUCUUGUCUGGCACACCAUAUCGGCAUAUAAGUUGAUUCUUGAUAAACUUCACGAUCACCUUCCUGGUCACAUUCGCAUAUGAUGCAACUUCAACCCAUUUGGUGAAGUAAUCAAUAGCUACGAGAAUAAAAUGGUGUUUGUUCGACGCCUUCGGCUCAAUCAUGUCAAUCAUGUCAAUUCCCCACAUGGAGAAGGGCCAUGGUGAGGAAAUAACAUUCAGAAGUGUCAGGGGAAUAUGAAUCUUAUCCGCAUAAAUCUGACACUUGUGGCAUUUCUUCACAUAUUUGCAGCAAUCAGAUUCCAUUGUCAGCCAAUAGUAGCCUGCUCUCAACAUCUUUUUUGCCAUGGCAUGCCCAUUGGAAUGAGUACCGAAUGAACCCUCAUGGACUUCAGUCAUCAACAGGUCUGGUUCGUGUCUAUCCACACAUCUGAGCAGGACCAUGUCAAAAUUCCUCUUGUAAAGCACAUCAUCAUUAAGGUAGAAACUGCCAGACAAUCUCCUCAAAGUCUUCUUAUCUUUAAUAGAUGUCCCAGGCGGGUACGUCUGAUUUUUGAGAAAGCAUUUGAUAUCAUAAUACCAUGGCUUAUCAUCUUUCACUUCCUCAACUGCAAACACAUGAGAUGGUCUAUCCAAGCGCAUCACAAUAAUAUUGGGGACUUCAUUCCAAUACUUCACUACAAUCAUUGAAGCAAGCGUAGCAAGGGCAUCCGCCAUCCGAUUUUCAUCUCGAGGAAUAUGAUGGAAGUCAAACUUAGUAAAGAAAGUUGAAAUCCUCCUCGCAUAGUCUCUAUAUUGGAUGAUGCCAGGAUGAUUUGUCUCUCAUUCACCUUUAAUCUGAUUAACAACAAGGGUCGAAUCACCAUAAACAUCAAGAUGCUUGAUCCUAAGAUCAAUACAUUCUUCCAAACCCAUAAUACAAGCCUCAUACUCUGCCAUAUUAUUCGUGCAUUUGAAAGUUAGCCUUGCUGUAAAAGGAAUAUGUGUGCCUUUAGGAGUAAUAAUCACUGCCCCAAUACCAUUUCCAUACUGAUUAACAGCACCAUCGAACACCAUACCCCAUCGGGAACCAGGCUCUGGCCCUUCAUCGAGCGUAGGCUCAUCACAAUCUUUCAUCUUCUCAUACUGAUUAACAGCACCAUCGAACACCAUACCCCAUCGGGAACCAGGCUCUGGCCCUUCAUCGAGCGUAGGCUCAUCACAAUCUUUCAUCUUCAAAUACAGAAUCUCCUCAUCAGGGAAGUCAUAUCGCACAGACUGAUAAUCUUCAAUUGGUUGAUGCACCAAAUGAUCAGCCAAGAUACUACCUUUAAUAGCUUUUUGAGCUCGAUACUCAAUAUCAUACUCAGAUAACAACAUCUGCCAACGGGAAAUCCUCCCAGUUAAAGCAGGCUUUUCAAAGAUAUACUUGAUUGGAUCCACUUUGGAUAUCAACAAAGUCGUAUGAUUCAACAUAUACUGGCGCAAGCGCUUAGCAGCCCAAGCCAAAGCACAUCAUGUCUUCUCAAGCAUUGAGUACCGAGACUCACAAUCAGUAAACUUCUUACUCAACUAGUAUAUCGCAUACUCUUUCUUCCCUGAUUCAUCUUGCUGACCCAAUACACAUCCCAUGGAAUCAUCAAGCACAGUCAAGUACAUAAUCAAUGGUCUCCCUUCAACAGGCGGAGACAGAAUCGGAGGCUCAGACAAAUACUCUUUGAUACUAUCAAAGGCCUUUUGGAAAUCCUCGGUCCAAUCAUGACGCUGAUCUUUCCAGAGGAGCUUGAAUAUAGGUGCACAUGUGGCAGUCAUGUGGGAUAUAUAUCUCGAAAUGUAAUUCAAGCGGCCAAGAAAACCUCGGACUUGCUUCUCAGUUUUGGGCGCAGGCAUCUCUUGUAUUGCUUUGACCUUGGCAGGAUCAACUUCAAUACCUCUUUCCCUGGACAAUAAAGCCCAAUAACUUGCCGGACCGGACUCCAAAUGUACACUAGUUCGGAUUCAAGCGAGCUUAUACUUCCUCAAACGCUGGAAAAGCUUCAACAAGUGUUCCACAUGUUCAACUUCCGUUUUUGACUUCGCAAUCAUAUCAUCAACAUACACCUCGAUCUCCUUGUUGCAUCAUAUCAUGAAACAAGGUAGUCAUAGCUCGUUGAUACGUGGCUUCGCGCGUUCUUCAAACCGAAGGGCAUCACUCGAUAACAGAAUGUUCCCCAAGUGUGAUGAAUGUUGUCUUCUCCAUAUCUCGGGUGCCAUUUUAAUUUGAUUAUAACCGGAAAAUCGUCCAUAAAUAGAGAAGACAUUGAAUUUAGCUGUAUUGUCUACCAACAUAUCAAUGUGUGAUAGGGAAUAUCAUUUUGGACUAGCUUUAUUCAAGUCACGGUAAUCCACACACGUUCGGACUUUUCCAUCUUUCUUAGGCACGGGUACAAAAUUGGCUACCCAUUGAGGGAUAUUGUAGAAGUCACCAGAAACCCCGCAUCAAUUUGCUUCUGAACUUCUUCUUUAAUCUUCACUGCCAUAUCAGGAUGAGUUCUUUUGAGCUUUUGCUUCACAGGCACACACUCAGGCUUCAAUGGUAAGAAAUGUUGCACAAUAUCAGUAUCUAGGCCAUGCAUGUCUUCAUACGACCAGGCAAAGACGUCGACAUAUUCUCGUAGUAACUCAAUUAACCCCUUCUUAACAGAUUCUUCAAGGAGUGUCCCAAUCUUCACUUCACGAAUGCAGUCUUCAGACCCCAAGUUGACUGUUUCCAGAUUCUCAAGAUGCGGCUGAAUGAUCUUCUCCUCGUGCUCAAGCAGACGGGUAAUCUCAUCAGGAACCUCUUCAACAUCAUCUUCUUCCGCCUCAAAUAUAGGGAACUCAAAGUUGGGAGAUGGUGUUGGAUCAUUAUGUUCAAUGGGUUUGAUUAACCUGCAUAAUGAUUUUGAGUAUAAAGAGAUUUCAGAAUUCAAACAAGGCAAAUCAUUAUGCAGAUGAAAAGAUUGAUUUUAUUCUCUUUUUUAGGGUUUUAUAGUGAUCACCAAUUUCAUGCAAAAAGUAAAAAGGAAAAAUCAUUUGAGAAAACAAACAUUUAACAUGCGAUUAUUGAAUGAAUAUCAUUGUAUUAACAAAAUUUUGCCAACAAUAUCUUCACUUCUCCCUUUGGCAUGGGAGAAGGGUUUUUAUACAAAAUGAACACAUUACGUUGACUUAUGGAUAACUGUUGGAACAUCAACAGCGACCCAAUUAUUGCAGAUUCCUCCAAGUAUGACAAAGUUGCCAAGGUCUUCCUCUAAAUCUUCUUCAACGAUGGCAGCAGCUUACUGAUCUUCAACAAUGUGGAUGAAACCUCCACUCUGGAAUAGCCCACGCUCAUUGGAAACACCAGAAGAAUACCCUAUGCCAGCUCGAGACUUAUUAUCUUCCAACUUGAUCAUUUUCCCCAAACCAGUAGUUGCACCAUGCUUAAUGGACAACUUCGCAUUAUUAUAGGAGACAAAUGAAGAAAGUCCUUUCCCCGAAGGCUCAGCAAUAUACAAGGCUUGGAACGGAGUCCCAACCUCAUCCUCAGCAUUAAUAUAGGAGAAGGAAGAUAAAUGACUGACCAAGAGAGCCUUCUCUCCCCCUAUCACCACCAACCUUUUGUUCUUUACGAACUUCAACUUUUGGUGUAGGAUGGAUGUCACGGCGCCUGCCUCGUGAAUCCAUGGUCUGCCAAGCAAACAUCUGUAAGAUGGAUGAAUAUCCAUGACCUGGAAAGUGAUCUGGAAGCCACUAGGUCCAAUCUUGAUCGGGAGUUCUAAUUCGCCGAUCACAGUUUUCCGCGAUCCAUCAAACGCCUUCACGACUACUCCACUCUGCCUCAUGGGAGGCCCUUGGUAUGAAAGUUUAACAAGAGUGGAUUUUGGCAACACAUUAAGUGAUGACCCUAUGUCCACCAACACAUUGGACAAGGCAUCAUCCUUACAGUUCAUAGAUAUGUGUAAAGCCAAAUUGUGAUCUUUUCCCUCCUCAGGAAGAUCAGCAUCACAGAAGCUCAAGUUGUUGCAAGCGGUUAUAUUCGCAACAAUGCUAUCAAACUGCUCUAUUAUGACAUCGUGGUCCACGUAUGCCAUGUCCAACACCCUCUGCAAACACUACGCCAAAUAAGGGAAAAGAGGACGCUUAUUUUGGCCUAUAACAGCGCUUUUAAGCGCCCUCUAAUCUGGCGCUGGCAUAGGUAAAGACAGCGCUUUGUUUUCCUGGAGAAAGCGCUGUCUAAAGGCCCACAUUAUAGUGCGCUUUAUGAAAAAAGCGCCCUCUGGAGUGGUCCAUAAAGGGACACCUUAGAGGGCUCUUUCUGGAAAAAGCGCCCUCUAAAGUUGUCAAUGUAAAGUGUUUAGAGGGCGCUUUCUGGAAAAAGCGCCCUCUAAAGUUGUCAAUGUAAAGUGUUUAGAGGGCGCUUNNNNNNNNNNNNNNNNNNNNNNNNNNNNNNNNNNNNNNNNNNNNNNNNNNNNNNNNNNNNNNNNNNNNNNNNNNNNNNNNNNNNNNNNNNNNNNNNNNNNNNNNNNNNNNNNNNNNNNNNNNNNNNNNNNNNNNNNNNNNNNNNNNNNNNNNNNNNNNNNNNNNNNNNNNNNNNNNNNNNNNNNNNNNNNNNNNNNNNNNNNNNNNNNNNNNNNNNNNNNNNNNNNNNNNNNNNNNNNNNNNNNNNNNNNNNNNNNNNNNNNNNNNNNNNNNNNNNNNNNNNNNNNNNNNNNNNNNNNNNNNNNNNNNNNNNNNNNNNNNNNNNNNNNNNNNNNNNNNNNNNNNNNNNNNNNNNNNNNNNNNNNNNNNNNNNNNNNNNNNNNNNNNNNNNNNNNNNNNNNNNNNNNNNNNNNNNNNNNNNNNNNNNNNNNNNNNNNNNNNNNNNNNNNNNNNNNNNNNNNNNNNNNNNNNNNNNNNNNNNNNNNNNNNNNNNNNNNNNNNNNNNNNNNNNNNNNNNNNNNNNNNNNNNNNNNNNNNNNNNNNNNNNNNNNNNNNNNNNNNNNNNNNNNNNNNNNNNNNNNNNNNNNNNNNNNNNNNNNNNNNNNNNNNNNNNNNNNNNNNNNNNNNNNNNNNNNNNNNNNNNNNNNNNNNNNNNNNNNNNNNNNNNNNNNNNNNNNNNNNNNNNNNNNNNNNNNNNNNNNNNNNNNNNNNNNNNNNNNNNNNNNNNNNNNNNNNNNNNNNNNNNNNNNNNNNNNNNNNNNNNNNNNNNNNNNNNNNNNNNNNNNNNNNNNNNNNNNNNNNNNNNNNNNNNNNNNNNNNNNNNNNNNNNNNNNNNNNNNNNNNNNNNNNNNNNNNNNNNNNNNNNNNNNNNNNNNNNNNNNNNNNNNNNNNNNNNNNNNNNNNNNNNNNNNNNNNNNNNNNNNNNNNNNNNNNNNNNNNNNNNNNNNNNNNNNNNNNNNNNNNNNNNNNNNNNNNNNNNNNNNNNNNNNNNNNNNNNNNNNNNNNNNNNNNNNNNNNNNNNNNNNNNNNNNNNNNNNNNNNNNNNNNNNNNNNNNNNNNNNNNNNNNNNNNNNNNNNNNNNNNNNNNNNNNNNNNNNNNNNNNNNNNNNNNNNNNNNNNNNNNNNNNNNNNNNNNNNNNNNNNNNNNNNNNNNNNNNNNNNCUUUAGAGAGCGCUUUUGUAACAAAGCGCACUCUAAAGUAAAGCGAAAAAAUAAUGAGGAAAUGGGAGGGACACCAAUAGAGACGCUUUAUUGAAAGCGCCCUCUAAGGGUAACCUUAGAGGGCGCUUCUAAAAAAUCGCUCUCUAUGUCCAUGUACAUUUCCAGUUUAUAAGGCGCUUUUGAAAGCCUUAGAGAGCGCUUUUAGAAGCGCCCUCUUAGGCCCCCUUAGAGGGCGCUUUUGUAACUAAGCGCGCCUCUAAAGUGAAGCCAAAAAAAAAUGGAAGGACACCAAUAGAGGGCGCUUUGUGAAAGCGCCCUCUAAGGUUACCCUUAGAGGGCGCUUUUGAAAAAGCGCUCUCUAAGUCCAUGUGACAUUUCCAGUUUAGAAGGCGCUUUUGGAAAGCCUUAGAGAGCGCUUUCAGAAGCGCCCUCUUAGGCCCCCUUAGAGGGUGCUUUUUUAAAAAAGCGCCCUCUAAGGUCCCCUUAGUAAACAUUAAAAUUAUAACAUAUACUGCAUGUCUCUUUUAUUUCCCUCUCUAUAAGCUAUUUCGUUUACGUAACUGGGUUUCUCUCAACUGCAUUACUCUCUACUGCGAUUACUCUCGUCCUCCGUUCGGUCUCCCUCCCUCACCGUCAUCGUCGCCGGUCGUUCUCCCUCCCUCACCGUUCACCGUUCACUGCGUUAACCUCUUCCACCGUCACUGUUCACUUUUCUUCUCCAUCGUUACCGUCACCUUUAAGGUAUUUCUCUUCUCCAUCGUUACCGUUCACUUUCUUCAUGUGUGAUUAGGGCAUUUCUAAACUGAUUUUCAUUUUGUGCAUUAUGUUGAUUAAUGUGUUUAGGGCAAACUGAGUUUUUAUUUCUGAUUGAAAACUGAUAUAUUUGAAGUGUGUUUGAGCUUGUGCUUGGAAGGUUUGAUGAUUAUGGAUGCAAGUUUUUCAUGUUCCAAACACCAUAAGUUUGCAUUGGUCUUUGCAUGCAGUAGGUGUGUGUGAGUAAAGUGGUAUGCAGUAAGUUUGUGCAUGCAGUAAAUGUGUUCACGUAUUGAAUCAUUGUCUUACUUGGGUCUUAUUGAAUCAUUUCUAUAUUACAGAUAAAAUGGCAACCAAGACGAUACCCAUGCCGCGAAUGAAUCACGUAAUAAUGUUGAAAAAGAAAAUCAAACGAGGAUUGACUGUUAUGAAGUCAAUCAUUCGUGCAAGAGACAAGGGUGUAAAAUUUGAAGUACAUUGGAGUGCUGAAGACCAACUAAUUGAGCCUAACGGUUCAAUGUGGCAAGUUACAUUGGUUUCCUUGGUCGCCAACAUAUUCCGAUUACAUGUGAUAAUUGGAGAAAGUCCGGACUUGAAGGUUGGCAAGGAAAAAAUAUGGUCGGAGAUACAGGUACUUACCAUAUAUGUUAUAUGUUUUUUUUGUUGACUAUUUGUUAACCAUAUAUUGUUAUAAUAUUACUUUAUAAUAACACACUCCAUUUGUAUGUUUUUAGAGAUCCUUUCACAUCGAUGAAAGCCGGCAAAAAUAUUGUAUUAAUUGGCCGGAAAAAGACUCCGAGGAUUUCGAUCCUUUUUGUGCACAAAUUUCUCAGGAUGAGGAAGGAAAAUUUGUUGAAGGAGAACGGCCAAUGAAGUAUGCCGAGAUUAUUUCAGCCGAUGAAUGGAUAACUUUGUCGCCAAAACGAAGAAACGAAAAAUUCCAUGUAAUGUCUAUUAAUUAUGGUAAUUAUACAAUUGUUAAGUUACUUGGUUCUAAUAUGCCUUAAACUUUUUUAUCCAGGAAGUAAGCGACAUAAAUAGGAAAAGGGCAUCAAAAACCCGCGUAUCCGUACAAAAAAGGGCGUUACGGGUAUAUGCACGGUUACAACAAAGAAUUGUGAGUAUAUUCAAAUGCUAUGAGCUUAUACAUUGUCACAAUAUGUUAUAAUUGAUGAUCUUAUAAUCUAAUUCAAUGUGUAGCUAGCCGAGGAGAAAAAGUGACGCAACAUCUCUUCCGGACCACGUAUUAUGGAAGGCUGCUCGGGUUGGAAGGAUGAGGCUGUCGUUGAGCGCGUCCAAAAUGUUUAUGACGAAUGUGUAAGUAUAUGUAACAUUAUUUCUUUAAUUAUACCGAAAAAUUUUGUUAGACAUAUAAUUCAUUUUUAAUCUCCUCUAAUAAUAUUUCAGGAGACUUAUCCCCAAACCGUACCUUCAACCAGGUCCAGGAUUGCAGGAGCGUACUUAGUCGAGUACUAAAUGUUCGGAUAUUCCGGUCGUGUGAGGGGUAAGGGUUUUUGGUGUGACUCCGUCGUCAUUUUUAUAUAAAAACAAAAAAACAAAAAAUCCUACCAACAAAGAGGUGAUGGAGACCUUGGCGGAGUUAAGGGCACAAGAACUCCAACUGCAAACGAGAAUGCAAGGUAUAGAGAGGAAAGGUGCGCUUCCGAGGCAAAAGAUACUAGUGACCGAGCUAGUAUCAAUCAUCAACCGAAAUUUCCCGAGUAAUUAUAUAUGUUAUUAUGAAAUUAAAAUAGCAUUUUUUUACUGACACAUAUACAAGUUAACAAUAACAUUUAUUAUUGGUUUAGGGCAUUUCACCUUGUCAGCUGUAUCUAUCGUCACCAACUUAUCGCAUGGUUGGCAAGGGAAAAGUGCACAAUACUUCGGGUGAAUUACUUCACCAUAAUCCCUCCCGGUGGAUUUAUGAAAGUUUCGGUGACCUCGUAUUGAUACGGACGCCCGUCUACCAUUACCCGACGUUGUUUCAGAGACAACGUUGAUGCGAGAUGCAGUCGGAUCCUUUGUUGGUUGGCCGUCAGAUCUAAUUUUCCCUGAUGCCGAGGUAUAUAUGUUCUAAAUGAUUAUGAAUAUUUAGAAUUCACAUUUCAAUUCAGCUACAAUUAUGAUACUUAAUCAAUCCUUAUUACAUGGUAAUGUUAGAAUCCUACAAGACCCACCCUAAAGCUGGUAAAGGGAUUUCAAGACGCAUCGAGUCGGUUGCAUCUCAAAAAAGAGUACAAAUAUAUAUACCCAUUGAAUUAUAUACACAACGAUUCUUUGCAUCACAAAAAGUAAUGAUUUAUUUUAUAUGAAUUUUUAGGUUCAUCUUCUCUCUAGCGCCCUCUAAAGUGCGUUGUCUAUUCCAAUAGUAUGCUCCUUAUUUUUUCUCUUUACUUUAGAGUGCGCUUUUGUAAUAAAGCGCCCUCUAAGGGGCGCUGUCUAUUCCAGUUUUUGGCGUAGUGAAAGCUUCGCGGUGUGGCUCGAAAUUCAUUAACAAAGAUAAGACAUAUAUCUUUGAUGGAGUUUGUAGUAGCUGAUCAACAACAUUAUAUUCAUUCCUCUUGAUGAGCCUCAGCAUCUCAUCACCAUCCUCUUUCAAAAUGCCAGACUGGCCAACCAAGAUAGGAGUGUUAUUAUUCUUAAUAGCAAUAGGAUCAACAACAGGAACAGAAUUAUUUUGAGAAGAAGUCCCCACAGGACCGGCAGGAUUAACAACAGUUCUCUUCACAACAUCUUCAUGGGAUUUCGGCGGAGCCGAGAAAACACGACCACUACGGGUCACACCACAAACAUCUGAAAUGCUUACUACAUAAGUUGAGGGCAACGGCACCUCCUUUCCGUCCUCCAGCAUAACUGCGUUAUAUCGGUAGGGAACAACUUUGUUUGAUACAUACGGGACAGGACCCGCUGGCUUUAUCACAAGAGCUGGCGAUACCUUCUUCUUGCUGCCACCAUACUUGACAACAACAGACUCAGGAAUUUUAAACACAAGAGUAAUUACAUCAACUUCAUCCUCAUUACAAUUCUGAAGUAUCUCAAUCAUCCCUUGAUCCAGCAUCUCUUGGAUGUCCUUUCUCACUUGACGGCAUCCUCUCUCGUUGAUAGUGCACACCUGGCACCUACCAUGGUCAUGCUCGUAGUGGUUGUGUUCACACAACAGCUUGUGCAUCUCGACCAAAGAUUGCCUUAUGUCAUUUACAUACAGGAUUUUGUACUUGUCAGGGCAACCCAGGACCAUAUUAACAGCUGCCUUCCCAUGCUCGGGCAAUGGGUUCUUCUUCACGUCUGGACCUACGUCCUCAAAAAACAAUAUCCCACUUCUCACAAGGUCUUGCACCUUGGUCUUCAACGGAUAGCAGUUCUCCACGUCAUGUCCGGGAGCACCGGAAUGAUACACGCAGUGAAGCUCGGGCUUAUACCACCACUGAGGGUUGGCUGGUACAACAAGAGGAUCACGAGGAGUUGUCAGCUUCCUAUCAAUCAAGGAAGGAUAAAGUUCAGCAUAUGUCAUCGGAAUCGGGUCAAAAGUUACCCUCUUCCUCUCGUAGUUGCUGGUGCUGGUGUUGUUAUUGUUAUGAGGCUGGUAGGCCUGCUGUUGUGGACGAUGUUGUUGUUGUUGUUGUUGAUGAUGAACUUCUCUAAAAGCAGGUUCUAUAUGAGCCACCUGGUGUUGGUUGACGGCUGGACGCACAUCCUUCCUCCUUAUAGAGGGCCUUCUUUUGACAUGAGAGGACACAUCAUGAGCCUCUCCCUCUUUCUUCCUAGCAAAGCCUCCAUAUUUCUUUGCUGAGGAACUGUCAUCUCUAGAUAAACGUCCUUCAUGGACUCCUUCUUUCAAUCUCAUCCCCAUAUUCACCAUUUCGGUGAAGUCUGGGGGAGCACUAGCAAUCAUUCUUUCAUAAUAGAAAGAGCUCAAAGUCUUCAAGAAAAUCUUUGUCAUCUCCUUCUCUUCCAGGGGUGGCACUAUCUGAGCUGCCAGUUCUCGCCAUCUCUGGGCGUACUCCUUGAAGGUCUCUUUAUCCUUCUGCGACAUUGCCCUCAAUUGGUCCCUGUCUGGAGCCAUAUCCACAUUAUAUUUAUACUGCUUAACGAAGGCCUCGCCUAGAUCAUUAAAAGAGCGGAUGCUUGCACUCUCUAGCCCCAUAUACCACCGGAGCGCAGCACCUGUCAGGCUAUCCUGAAAGUAGUGGAUCAGCAGUUGGUCGUUAUCAGUCUGUGUUGACAUCUUGCGAGCAUACAUCAGGCUAUCCUGAAAGUAGUGGAUCAGCAGUUGGUCGUUAUCAGUCUGUGUUGACAUCUUGCGAGCAUACAUCACAAGAUGGCUGAGCGGGCAUGUGUUUCCCUUAUACUUCUCAAAGUCAGGCACUUUGAAUUUAACAGGGAUCUUCACGUUGGGCAUUAAGCACAACUCAGCAGCACUUUUACCAAAGAGGACCUUACCCCUCAAAGUCUUCAGUUUCUUGCGCAGCUCAACGAAUUGAUCUUUCAUUUCGUCCAUCUUUUCAUAUACGUCUGGACCCUCAAAUGGCUCGGAAUGAUAAAUGGUGUCUUCAACACGGGGAAGAGUGUGCACAACGGGAGGUGGCACAAACAAGACCGGGUUAGAUACCGGCAAGGAAGCGAGAGUAGGAGCAAAACCCUCUGGCAUGAAAUUGGAUGGCAUUCCCCAGGGGAACCCAGCUGGCAUAGAUGAAGCAAAGUGGGUUGUCGCAGCAGGCACAGUAGAAGUGGCUAUCUCAGAUAUGACAGUCCUCGCGGGAGAAGUUGCAGGAGUUGGUGAAGCUUGGCUCUGGGCGGCCAGAACUGACUCCAUCAUGGCAGUCAGCCUAGCAAUCUCUUCCUUCAAGUCCCUGUUCUCUUGUUCUAGAUGCUCCAUUAUCUGAAAAUGGGAUAUGUUGCCCACAUCUGAAAAUUUGCCUCCAAAUAAAGGCGACCAUAAGGUAUAACUCAAAGGUGGUUCUAAGGGAGAUGAAGGAAGGCGACCUAGUGUUAAGAUAGGCUAUCAUGCCCGCCUAACCGAGGAAACUACAACCAACUAGGAAGGAUCAUAUCACAUAUAUCAGAAGCUACAUCAUAGAUCCUACAAACUUAAAGAGCUAGAUGGAAGACUCACUUCCAGAACUUGGAAUUUGGUUAGCCUAAGAUAUUACUAUAGUUAAUUGUUUCUUUUUUGUUUUUAAAAAGGUGAUUUGCCUGUCAAUGUAUGAAUCUCUUUGAAAAACCUUUAUUGUUAUUUACAAUAGAUUAUUCCGUUCUAGAGUCAACUUAAAUGUUGGACUUCCACGGGAAGAUUCUUGUCGUGCUAAAAAAAUAUAAAUGUUAUACUUCCACAAGAAGAUCACUAUCGCCUUAAAAAGGCAAUGUUAAUCAUGGGCUUCCAUAGGAAAAUCCUUGUCGCUCUUAUGUGGAAAAGAAAAUGUUUUAUUUUUCUAAAAAGAUCCUUAUCGCCCCUAGGGCAACAUAAAUGCAAAAUUUCCAUGGGAAAUCUCUUACAUAGAUUGCUCAACUUUAAGUCUCUCCUAAGGGACUCGACUUAAAGUAUCACCUAAUGGGCUUGACUUAAAUUCUUUUUUGAGGGACUCGACUCGAAGUCUUGUCUGAGGGACUCAACUCAAAUUCUUUCCCGAGGAACUCAUAGUCUUGCCUGAGGAACUCGGCUUGAAGUCUCGCUAAAGGGUAUCGACUUCAAGUUUCGCUUGAAGGACUCAACUCGCAGUCUCUCCUGAGAGACUUAACUUAAAGUCUCACCUGAGGUACUUCACUUAGGGCAUCAUCUGAACAGUUCCAAGAAAGGAAAAAUCAACUAACCACUUCAUUUUUUCCAAACCCUCGUGCUUGAGAGACUAUGUAUUAGUACAUUUUCAAAGAGUCCGCAAGGGGCGGCGUGGAAGGUGAAUGACACCCACAACAUCCUCCUAAUUGUCCGUUUAUUAGAUAUAUCACCUAUUUACUGGAUGUGAUGCCUAUUUCUCAAAUAUAAUAUCCGCUCCUUAGGUAACUCUCCCAAAGCGUAAGAAUGUGGAACAUGACUUGUCCCAUUCCGUAACGGCACGGAGAAAGGGUCAGAGUGAAAUUAAUCACGUUCUCCUGAAUAAUAAGGGAUUAACUAUCUCAUUCUCAUGUUCAUAUAAGUGAUUGUUACUUAUUCGGAGUUUGUGGUUCUGACCUAUGGAUCUCUAUAUUAACACCUCAACCUUAAGGUUGAAAAGAUUCAAUAUCAUUACGCAGAUACUAUAUAUACAUAGUUUUAACCUCCUUGCGUGAGCUAAUUAUAAAUCCCACAAUAAAGUCUAAAGUUUUUGAGAGCUCUUAAUCACUAAGAAUGGUUACGUAUUGUGCUUUUAAUAAGUAUAAUUAUUAAUAUAUUUUUAAUUUAAAAAUUAUGAUAAUAAUAUAGAUUAAUUAAAAGAAUUUAUAAAAACACUAUAAAAUCCUUCAUUAAAAUUUUCUCAUAUUCCAAAAUUUCACAAAAAUGAAAAAAUUUAAAAAUUACAGAAAAAUUUCAAAAUCAAAAUAUGAAAAUACAAAUCAUAGAAAAUUUGUAAAUAUUGUGAUUAAUUUAGCAAUCAUUAAUACAACAGCUAUAUCUAUUUUCUUCCCAUAUUAAAACCAAUGUAAAUGUUUGGGAAAUACAUCUCAUAUGCUAACGGUAGAAACAUUUUCAAAAACAUGUCAUGUGUUAAGAUAAAAUUACUUGUAUUUAUUCAUGAUCUUUAUUGAACUGUAACAAUCAUAAUAUAAUAUAUACUUAACUUGUAGAAUUGAGGAACAAACUUUCCUUUAGAAUCUAUUUUAUCUUCUUCUUUUACUGUAGUAGUUUUGUGCUUCUGUAUUCUAAAGCAUCUAUGGAAUAAUAUCCUUUCUUUUUCUCUUAUCCUUCAAAUUCACUUGAAAUAUACACACAAUCAAAGUUGAAAACAUAGAUUCUUCAUUUAAAACAAGAACUACAUGCUGCAUGCAUUGGAACAUAUAUACCAUAAGGGUUAACUUCUCUUCCUCAUCUCACAUUGUUGUUUCACUCUUCAUUUCAGCCUUGAAGAUCACCAUGAACAUUAUUGAAGUGGGAGAGUAUAUUUACGACACCGCAUACACCUCGGAAGGUAUAGAAUUUUUUACAUUGUCGCCAAUUUUAUUUUCUAGUAGUAAAUUUAAUUGCAACCAAUUAUUAACUAUAUAUGAAAUGUCUGUAUCAAGAGGACAAGCUACGGGGGUGUACAAUUGAAGGAAAAUGGGAAGAAGUUGAGAAACUAUACAAAUCAGAUCCAAAAUUCAGCAAAAUAAAUAUCAGCAAAAGUAGAGGAACAGCACUACAUGUGGCAGUAAAUGAGGACAAUGGAAAAGUUGUUAGAAAUCUUGUUGAUUCGAUCAUAAGUCAGAAAAAUGAGAAGGCCCUUGAAUAUAAGAACCAAAAGGGUGACACUCCAUUGCACCUUGCAGCAUCAAAAGGAUUCAAAGAUAUAUGUGAAUGUAUAAUUGGAAAAAAUGGUGAAAGGAAGUAUUUGAUUGAUAUCGAUAACAACGAUGGAGAGAGUCCUUUGUUUCUUGCUGCAUUGUCUUGGCAAAAACAAACGUUUGUUUAUCUCUUCAACUUUAAACCAAGUGAGAGUGAUUGUAAUGUUGAUGGUAAUUAUUCUUAUUCUAAAGAUCUUAUUAGAAGCAAUGGAGAUAGUAUUCUUCACUGUGCCAUCAAGAGAGAAUUUUUCGGUAAUGAAUUGUUUUACUUAAUUUGCAUGUUUGCUUCUUCUUAUCAGAUUCCAAAUGCAUUCAUGAGAAUCUAAAUCUGCAUGUGAAUCUGGAGCGUUAGAAAAACUGUAUCUAGAAUACUAAUAUUUGUGUAUAAUGCAACAGAUUUGGCGCUUAUAAUAAUAGAUAAAUAUCCCAAUCUUAUUGUCAUUCCGAACAGACACGGAUUUAGUCCUCUCAAACUUCUUGCUACUAGGCCCUCAGCAUUCAAAAGUGGAUGCAACAUGAUAUGGUGGAAGAGGAUUAUGUACCAUUGUAAGUGUUCAAUAUUUCAAUAUUAAGUACAUUAAUGUCCAUUAUGCAUAGUUUUAAUACAAUUAUGCAUUACAAGGUAUACCUGUGGGAAUCCUAAAUGUGGAAGAUACUGUCAAAUAUUAUGCCAUGAAACAGUAUGAGUCAAGCAGCUCCCACAACAAAUGUCCAACGAACUAUGACACAUGUUAUCUCUUUUUUCAAAAAUGUAAAGAAUAUGCUAAUCCACUUAUACGCUUUGUUAAGCGACUGCUGAUGAAAGAAACUACUUCUACUGCUACAUAUGGUAUGUGUGAAUUACAUCAUACAAUAGUAUAUAAAACAUGUAACCUGAAAAUGAAACGGUUAUUGAAUUGCAGGAUCUAAAAAUAUGGGAGAGAAACACAAAGUGUUUCAAAAUUUUCAACAUCGCAAUAUAUCAAUGCAAUCUAAAAGCAAAUUUCUUCCAGAAAACUAUGCUACAUGUCUUUGGUUUAUGAAGUUUGCAUGUAUCUACAUCCUUGGCCUUUCAGGAGUAGGUAAUUAAAUGUCUCAUCUUAGUUGAUCAUAUGAAUAUUCAAUGUUGUUUUAUUGUUCUAUGGAUUAUGUGUUCUAAAUUUAUUAAAAGGGAUUGAAGAAAUCACAAAGAUGAAACAAAAACACAAAUGGAGUGGUCAACUAUUGAACAGAUUUAUGGAGAACGCUUAUGAAUCGUAUUUGGGAACCGGCACCAAACCAAUACAAUAUGUCAUUGGAACAGAUUUCCUUUCUGCUUACAAGCCAAAUCAGGGUAUCCAAUUCCAAACUGUUUAAUUAACUGGUCUCUAUGUAGUUUAUUGAUAAUACUCAUGAUAACAUAAUGAAACUUGCAGGAAAUAAUAACAGUGAGGAGCCAACGAUUUCUAAGACACUGGAAAGUGAGACAGCAAUUUUGACAGCAGCAAGAAAUGGCAUAGUUGAAAUAGUGAAUGAGCUUAUAACAAAAAUACCAAGUUCAAUAUACGAUGUUAACUUGGAAAAUAAAAAUGUAUUACUUGUAGCAGUUGAGAGCAGAAGAACCAAUGUAGUUAAGGCAUUAAGAAAACAGUUUGAAGAGGGUAAUAAAAAGGCAAUAUUUGAUAACUUAAUCCAAGGUGUGGACAUGGAAGAGAACACUGUGUUACAUUUAGCUGCUACAAGAAGUGAUCGAGAUUGGAACAUUUCUGGAGCUGCCUUGCAACUGAUGUGGCACAUCAAAUGGUUUCAGGUAUAUAUCUUUUUUAUAUACCAUAAGCUCAACUCCAACCUUUUGAAAUGACUCAUUUGAGCUUAUUUACCGACAUAAACAGUACACUAAAGAACUAGUGCCGGAGCAUUUCACAGUUAGAACAAACAAAAAGGACAAAACAGCAGGAGAAUUAUUCAAGAAAUCACAUGCAACACUGGUACAAGAUGGUAGUGCAUGGCUGAAAGACACUUCUAAUUCUUGCUCUGUAGUAGCAGCACUCCUUGCCGGCGUUUCGUUUGCUACGUCAAGCACUGUGCCGGGCGGUAACAAAAGUGACACAGGCGAACCAACACUGGAAGGAAGGCCUGCAUUUGAGGCAUUUGCUAUGUCUUCAGUAAUUGGUCUUUGUUUCUCUGUCACUGCACUCAUAAUGUUCCUCUCUAUACUUACUUCUCGAAAAGAAGCCAAAGAUUUCAGAAUUGAUUUGCCAAGGAAGCUUCUUUUGGGAUUGAGCUCUCUUUUCUUGUCCAUUGUUGCAUUGUUCGUUACUUUCUGUUCUGGCCAUUUCUUUUUGAUUGACCACAAGUUCAAGCACAUUGUGUUUCUGAUUUAUGCAGUCACUUGCCUUCCUGUGAGUUUGUAUGCAGUAGCACAACUUCCGCUUUACAUUGAUCUUCUGAAAGGUAUUGUAACCAAAGUGCCAAAGACAAGUGAUAAGGGAGAGGGCUUUUAAAGGUGCAAAAUGUACUGAAAAUGCAUUUUUGGCUUGUUGAAAUAACGAAGACAGUGGCUUGAGUACUACAUACUACCUAUAUUUGGAGCAGUAUAUAUAUAAUUAUUUAUUUAUAUGUCAAAUGUUGGAUUGUUGUUAUUAUAGUGAAAUUCUUUUAUUAUGUACUCUGUCAUAUUUAAGCAACUGAGAUUUCAUAGUUCUGUUCUGAAGGUUAGUUGAUUGAAGAUAGAAAACUACUUUUUAUUCCUACGCGGUCGUUCUUUAUAAAAGUAACAACUCAACCUGUCGACUACAUGAGUUCAAAUGAGGGAAAAUAUAUAAAACAGUUGCUAAUUUAACACAUGGAUUUUUAAGUGCCCAACAAAUAACUCACAUUGGAAAUCUCUUUGCAAAUUACAUGGUUCUGUCAGGGCCAAGGUUGGGGCCAUCAGAGUAUCUCCACUCGUCACACGCUGAGCAUCUUUCGAACUUUUCCCUGUUUUCCAUCAUACAGAAUUUACAAGACCAAGUGUUGUGCUUGGUAGUAACAACUUUUGGCUGUUCCGUGCCGCACAAGUCACAUAUAGGGGCUAGUGACUGCAUCAAUCAGGAACAGUUCACAUGCAUUAAAAAAGGAAGUAUGUUACAAGACCAUAGGUAGUGCUAACUAUAUUCUUUCGUUUAAAUAAAAUCCACAUCAAUAUUUCAAGAAUGUAAAGAAAAUAACUAUGAUGAAUGAAAGCAAUAUCAUUGAAUGUUUACUUUGUUUAACAGAGUGCACGACAAACACUGCCAGGUUGCAGUUUCUUCAUAAUGAAGUUUUCUAUUAUCACCAGAUAGUGGCCCAGAUGUACUUGGUGUAUCCAUUGUCAAAUCAACAAAUUUAGGGUUACUAGGUGAAUAAAGUGAUAAACUUGAAUCCUUGUCCCGACUUCUUUUUCGAGAUGUCGGAUCCAAAGCAAGAAUAGGAUUUUCAGAGGGUUUUGAGCUUCCCAGGAUUAUCUUCUUUUUUACAUGGUUUUCAGCUGCAUGAUAUGAAGAUUGAGAACGACACCAUUAGUCAUCCUGUAAUCUCCUUUCUGCGGCCAUCGCAGCAGCUUGUCUUGGAGUAAGUGUCGUCAUUAUAAGCCAAUCACCACCAAUACGAUAUCCCAACCACGGUCUCUUUUCUGCAGCAGAAAGUGCAGUUUUACGCAGAGAUGAGAGUGGAGGUUGAGUAGAAUAACCACCCAAGCGCCGUCCUGGGAGAUCAAAGCGAGUUAUCCGAUUAGCCAUCAACUCAGCACAUUCCUUUCUAAGUUCAUCCAGAGGAUCUAGAACUCUGUAUUAUGAGGAGCAUGUUCAUUAUGAUAAAGCUUAUGAAGCAUCGUAUCUAAAACUUCAUCAUAUGGGUCAGGAAUGUCUUUGAGGGCAUGUAAGACGGGUUAUCGCACAAGACCUAAAAUUUGUCACGGUUAAACUGUAGGACCAUUGUCAUUGUUAAAACAUAGUUAAAUAGGAUCUCUAAUUAUUUUGUCAUGAUUCAUUGUUGAACCUACAUAUAGUCUCCAAAAACUUGAGAUGGUUCUGAUAUAGGUAAAAGUUUGAACCCCAUUCUGAACUAAUGAGUUUACACUGUCUACGACCUCCAUAAUUCCUCCCAAGAUAAUAUCAAAUGAUGAAAUAAAAAAUAUUAAAAAUCAGAAAUAAAAACUAGAAUUUAUUUGGGAAAUAAUGCAAUUAGUCCCAUAAUUUUUGGAUUAAAAAUGAAGAAGAUAUUGAUUUUUGAAAAUAAUGGAAAUAAAAGAAAUAAAAUCAGAAAUUAAGAAACUAGAAAAAACGUGAGCCGUCUGGUGAUGAUUCAUUAAUUGACGUGGAUCAUCACACAGCCAGGAAGCGCGUGUUCACCAUACACGCGGGUCAAACGCAUCACACCGUGCCAAAUGAAAAGUCAUAACAAUGAAGGGACGAGAUCAAAUCUGGAGAAUGGAUCCAACGACCAGGAUUUGAACUGGACUUGAUGAAGCCACCGGAGCCACCAUCUUCUCCGGUGAGCUUCCCAGAUUCCGGCCAAGUUGCAGAACUUCAAAACUUAACCAAAUUAAGCGAUCUAUACAUCAAUAGAAAACUAAGAUGAUGUAGAUCAUUCCUAUACCAUCCAUUUUCAUUCUAGAUCUCUAUGAUUUGAGAAAUCAGAAGUUGAAAAUUCUGGUGUUCAUCAUGAACUCAAUGAAUUUCGAAAAUUAAAAGCAUAAACAUGAUGCCUCCAUUGAUAGGACUUCAGCCAACACAAAACCACAACCAAUAGGUCAAUGAAUUAAGAGAAUCGAAGCAAAUACCAGUUGGAGUUCAAGUUUGAGAAGACCACUAAACUCGAACUUUGGAACGAACGAAAUAGUUUACAGAAGUUCAAUGGAGUGUAUGGUGAAGGUCUAGAAGCAUUAGAUCUAUGAAUACAACCAGAUGUAGUUGAAUUCAAGAUCUGAAUUUUUUUAAAGAAAAUGCAAUUGCUUCUUUAGUAAUGGUUGGGGAAUGAUUUCAGCAGCAUUUCAGGUCAAAAAUUAGAUGUGAAAUGGAGGGAAUGAAGCUUCUAUUUAUAGGGGAUUUGGCAAGGGAAGUGUGAAGCAAUCCGUGUGCAUGAAUUUGGAUAUCACUUGCAUGGGCUUGCAUGAUCAUGCACAAGGCCCAAAAGCAAUGUCAAAUGAACUCUGAGCAAUGACCAAAGGGAAUUGGACGUGUAAUUUGCCUUGCAAUAGCUUGUAUUUCAAGAUUCAAUGUGAAUUUCACAAUUGGUCACAAAUGUUCAGCUAUUCGAAAGUCAUUCAUGAAAAAUCCAAAUAUAAGCAUAUGAGUAAUGGUUGGAAAGGUAUUUGUAUAAGAAACAAAUGUUAUGUUGGACAAAAACUCAUUUGAAGUGUGAAAAAUUAUGAAAUUUGAGUUUAAAGUGUGAUGUGCAAAAUAUGUCAAGGCAAGGUUUCUAAAAUUGGCCAACUUUCAAGCCCUUCUGUGUUGAUGAUGCAAGCUUCAAAUGGAAACACGUCCAACAUCAAAGUUGUAGAUCUUUUCAAGACACUCAAAAUGGACUUAAAUUUUGCAUCAUUUGGAGUUUUUAUGAAGAAGUUAUGGGCACUUGAAGUUGGACUUUUUUGACUUUUAAUGCCUUUGGUAAAAAAGGACCUAUAAUGUCUUGCAUUAUCACAUGUAUUUCCUUUGAGAUUUUGAAAUUUUGUUCAACAUAACAUUUGAAUUAGACAUCAUAAGCUUUCCAAUUAAUUUGAUCCCACAUCAAAAUCAUAAAAAAUGAAUGAGUUAUGUCCUUGGGAAGUUGACCUAAAAUUAGGGUUUCAAUCAAAAUGACCUAUAAUGUAUUGGAAUGGCAGAUGGUUUUCCAAGCUUCAAAUAAAAUUUUAAUGAACAUGAAAGUUGUUCAUAUUGUCCUUAAGAACAUUGUUGAUUUUGGAACCAUCUCCAUUUGACCAACACAUAGAAAGUUAUGUUUCAGUGUAUUUCAAAAUAGUUAGAUGAUUUGACUGAUCAACUUUCCAAGUCCAUGACUCAUAUCUUGAUGAAUUGAUGAUUGAGGACACUCAAAUAAGUUCAAAUAUGCAUGAAAUGAUGAGUUAAAGUACUUCCCUUGAUUUUUUUUUGACCAUGGGCUGAGGUUGCUUCAUGAGCAAGGCAUUGUGAUGCACAGAUGAAUUAGGGCUUCUCUGGGGAACAAACCUCAAAUCCUUUGACUUGCCUUGAUCAAACAUGAAAACACUAGAGGGGGCAUAUUUGAUGGAUGAGAGCUUUGGGAACCAUUACCAUGCUUGCUUCCACUUGACCAAUGACCUCCUUGAAGCUUUUGAUCUUGUGAUUGCUCAAGCUACAACCAAAAGAUGUUAGUGACAUAUUUUUGUGCUUUUGGUUAGUGAAUAAAAAUGAGAAAAAUAAUGAUAUACAAUUCAAACAUGCUUGGUGAUCUCAAACCACUCACAAGGAGUCCCACCCACAGGCAAGGGAAACCAAGAUGCUCAAUGAUCCUUGAGGUUAUGCAAUUGCAAUGUUAUGAUGCCAUGAGGGAUCUUAGGGACAAAAUUGGGGUCUUACACAUUGGUCCAAUAAAUAAGAAUCCAUUAUGUCCAAUCUUUCUCAUAUAUGACUUAUAGCAUUGGACAUUACCACUUACCUUGAGAAUUUAUCCUUCAAGCCUUUAUAAUUCGACGUAUAUGGGGAGAGGAUGACCCACCCAUGCAUGGAAUUCAUCAAAAUCUAACCUCACUUAUCCGCCCCUAUAGACUCAUAAUCGUAAAAAAGAAAAUAAAAUGUCAAUGGUAUGCGUUUAGGCGUAAUAUCAAGGCCCCAACAGAUUACCUCAAAUGCCUGGGGAAAUUCGUAACUAUUAGGAUGAAGUUAUGAAAUGGCAACAUUCAUGGUUCUCAAAAGUUCAGAUUGGAAGAUGGUGAAAGGGAUACCUACGCUAAAAUCCUCAGUAAUCCAGGGUAGAAGUAGAAAUAUUUGUCGGGCACUUCGGGCGGCUGCCGUAUACAAAACUUCUCACCUAGGACACGAGGUUUCAAAAUAAAAUGGGCCUCACCACCGGUGUUAGAAAAUUCUACCUGGUCUCGAAAUUUUUCUACCCAAGGCUCGGCGAGGCAAAUCGAGUUGUAACUUAAAACCUCAUCACUAAAAGAGUUAGAGAAGCUUCAUAAUGAUCUUGACCAAACCUGAGAAAGAAGACAUUGAGCUAGUGUCACUAUUCAUAUAUGUGUUAUCAAAUAAGACUUCAUACAUUUCUUUCUCCAUAAAUCCCUAAUCUAUUUUUCCUCUACCGCGUAUAGGCGCUUCCAUGCAUUAUUUCCACAAUACAUGCAUAUAAGUUACAUUUUUAGGAGAAAUUACCCUCAUACUCUCGUCACCUUUACGAAUAAGAACCAUUGAAAUUGAUUAGGAAAAGAAUAAAAGGAAUGAAAAGCGAUCACUGUACAUGGAUUGAGAAGAAAGACAGGAAAUCCUUUAAGACAAAGGGUUUUGACUCUCAUAAGUGUAGAAAGAGGAAGAGGUUCAGAUAAAUUUUUGAAAAAGUUUAUGGGUUGUGCAAAGAGAGAAACUGUAUUUAAGUAAGUUUUUAGGAACAUGAAAGGCCUCUUAGGUGUAAGGAUAAAAAUCCCAAUAGUAGGGAGUAAUGAUGACAUCAGGGGUGUAACACCCUAAACCCCUCACAUAAUUUAUCACGUAAGUUAAAUAUAAAAUAAAACCAUGUAGGAUGUCACACCUUCAUAACACGCAUGACCUGCUCCGUAACACGGGUUUCAACAGUAAAUUUCAAUACAUACAUUUGUAAUAAGGAUGUUUACACAACAUCCCACUUAUCUGAAUCAUACCUGGGAUGUUUACACGACAUCCAUCUCAUCUGAUCGGUAUUAUAUAUUCACAUGAUAAGACAUUCAUAACCUGUCACUGCAUGCUCACUUCCAUUUUAAAGUAUCAUUGUAGCGGAAUUAUUAUCACAAUUAUGGAAGAUAAAGCAAGUAAUAACAUUUAGUCUCAACUUCAAUUGUAAUAACACAAUAAGAGAGUUGUAAUCAAUCAACUCAACAUCUUAAGAAUUCUCAACAAAAAAAUUAGUCUUAUGACUUCAACAUAAUCAAAUAUAAGGAAUAAAAUAAGCGUUUAACCCAACCCGAUAUUACAUGAUCAGAGCAAGGUACCACUAAUAAAGGCGAAAAAUAAAAAAGUAAUCCAAGAGCUACCUUCCACUUACUUCAGCAAUACUACUCUUGAGUAUCUGCAUGAUAUCCAUGUAAAGGCAACAUUCAAACAAAAAGGGUGAGAAUUCAUUUCAAUAGUAACGAUAUAGAAUGAAGAAUAGAGUACAACAUCUACACAAUCAUGCAUAACAAUAUAUCACAUUCUUACAUCCAAAUCAUAAUCAACAUCAUACACGACAACAUCUAAAUUAUCAUCAACAUCAUACAAAACCACAUUUCAAUUAUCAUUAACAUCAUAUGCAACAACAUCUCAUCCGACAACACAUCAAUAACAACCAAUACAAUUUCCAACACUUAUGCAAUAUACUCAACACCGACUCAACAUGCAUGUGGUACCAAAUAUGAACACUCAUGUUCAUCUCACUCCAUGAUCCCCUCCAUAGGAUCGAUUCCCUCUUGGAACCGGAGCAUGCCAAAAUCUCUACUAUCAUCAUAGGUAACGCUUCAUUAAUUCCCCAUAAUAGGAAUUAGCUACUCGCACUCGAUCCAUCACAAUGGGAUCGAGGCUCAUCAAAACUCGUUACCAUCAACAUAGGUAACGCUUCACUAAUCCCUCAUAAUAAGAAUUAGCUAUUCGCACCUGAUCCAUCACCAUAGAAUCGAGGCUCACCAAAAUUGGACCGAAGCCCGUACACCAAGAUGCAUGACUCUCAAAUAACAUGCGUUAACACAACAAGGUUCACCUAAAGGAUCCCCACACAUAUCUCAUUAUUUAUGAAUCACAUCAUUCAUCAUGUAAUAAUCAAUUCAUGUUACUACGUGAAUAAUAUCAACAAACAAAAUUAACUCGUCAACAUCUUAACAUCAUCGACAUAACAACAUAAUUAUCACACCACAAUAUUACAACAAUGCAGUGAUUCAUCAACCAAACGUAUAAACCAAUACAUUUAUUAAUAUAGUAGGUAUCUUAAUAUUAUUAAAACAUAUCAACAAUCACUACCAUGUUAUAGGUAUGAACAUUAGAUUUCUAACGCUUCAAAUGACAUCAAAAUCGGACUUACGAAAUAAAGGUUAUGACCAAAAUCGUCAGGAUGUGUCAACAGUUCAUUAAUCGAACGUAUGAACAAAAACUUCACCAACACAAUAAACAUAUGAAUAAUACUAAAUCAAUUCACUUAUAUCCAUCACAUUAUAUCUCUGAGAGUGAACUUUCUAAUGCUUCAAACCCCAAUCCAAAAUGAUUCACGAGUUGAAAGUUAUGAUCAAAACCGUGCACGAAGGCGUUACUAAAAAGUUGUUGUUUUCUAAAAUUUUCAACACAAUUUUUAUCUUCUUCAACCCUAAAACAUCCAUGAAUAAUCACCAAAAUUAUUUUAUCCCUGAAACAAAGUUAUAGCCCUCUACUUCAAAUAUUCAACGCUUCAAAAGGAACUCGAUUUGGACUUACGAAUCAAAAGUUAUGCCCAAAAUGAUUUCGACCGAAAAACACAAAAAAAAGGCUCCCGCGCUGAGCGUGAUCGUGACGGACAGAAUGCAUAAUUUUCUGCAUUUUUCAUCGUUGGAGGCCUUUUGGACCUCCGAUUUUGAUUCUGCAAAAAUUCAAACGCUCAGAAAAUUAUAAUCCAUGCAAUACUCUAAUUAUCUAAAGUUAAUUUACAAUUUUAACACAAUUAAAUCAUUUAAUCACAGUUUUAAGAUUAUGCCUAAAACUUUUGAAAUUGCAACAAUGGUGAAUAUAUGUUCAAUCAUAAAAAAACAGAAAAAUAUACGCACAUAAAGGACACGAAAUUCAUCAUAUAAUUAUCAUAUAACAACCAUCGUAGCAUCCAAAUUCAAAAUUAUGAAUCAAAACACCCAAUCCUAAGGAGGUUAAGGGUUCCUCCAUUCCACCCUUCUACCAUACUCUUUACUAUUUGAACAAGUUAUCACCCUCACCUGAAUUCCUUGCAAAAAUUCUAAAUUGAAACAUUCACUCUCUUUCCUUGAUCAUAUUUUUUAUUGCCUCUUUGCUCCUUUUUUUUCUCAAAUGUCACAUACUGUGAAGAUCUCACUAAACCUAGGUUCCUCUUAACUUUUUGUUUUUAGGAUAAACUUUUCUAAAUCACCAAUUUGGCUCAAACUUAAUUAUCUCAUAUUCCUCCCUCCCAUUAACUUUCUCAAUUUCUUAUAUUUGACCCAAUUAUUCUAUCUUCACUAACUAAUAUAAUAAAAAUAAAUAAAACAUUAUUUUUAAUUAUCAAAACAAUUCUAAAUUAUUCUACUUACUUCAAUCAUUUCUCUAUAUCCUUAACUCAAGGAUACAUACUAUGUCAACACCCAACCAUAAAAUAAAUCAUCAAAAUCCAUAAUUGAAAUAAUAAAAAUAUAAUAACAUAUAUAAUAAAAAAAAUGAGGUGUUACAAGGGGCAUUACAAACCCGAAUAAAAAUAAUCAUGAUACAUUAAGACAUUCCUUGAGACGCAAAAGUCAAGUAGUCCAAAAUCGGACACAUAUCUUCUUAGAACUGGGUGAUUUAGAUUUUAAGCAUGUCACCCCUAAGAUCCCAUGGGCGGAGAACUGAACCAGAUAUUAUAAUAGGGCAAAAUCACCUCAUUUCAUUAAAGUCACCUUACUACUACGAUAUAUAUAAUAAUAAUAAUAAUAUCUUAUGAAUUGACAGAAAUAAGAGUCUUAGAGAGAAGAAGGUUGCAAAUUAAGAUGGUUGAAGAUAUACAAUUUUAAUGUGGUAAUCAAAGUUGAUUUUUUAUAUUCAAUUUAAUAAAAUACCAUAUUCUUUGUAAUUGAAUAUUUCAUCUUCAGAUUUAACGAAUAAAAUUGAAAAAUAAUAUUUAAAAAAAAGAAUUAAACAUUUAAUGAAAACAAAAAAUAUUACAAUAUUAAAUUUAAGUUACUAUUAUUUUGUGUCCUACUCAAUAAUAUUAAAUUUUAAAUCAUAAUAAUAAUAAUAAAUUUUAUUACACUUUAUUAGAAACAAAAUCAUAAUCAAUAAUAUUGAAUUUUAAAUUUAAGUUACUAUUAUUUUGUACCAUUAUUCCAAAGAGUUAUUAUUAAAAUAUUAAGAAGUUUUAUUAUACAUAUGAAAAAUUAUCUAUUUCUUUUAAUAUCAUUUAUUAUUUAUAAUUUAAAUACAUUCAUUUAUUUUUAUUUAUAAAAUAAUAGUUUUUACUCCAUUAACCUCUAAAGUUGAUCAAUAUUAUUUCGUUAGAAUUAUUGAUGUUUUAUUUAUUUAUGCUACUUUUAUAUUUAUAAACAUUAGUUAUAGUUACCAUUGAUCAAAAUAUAGAAAAACGUUUUAACAUUGAAAUUUGAAAUUAUGAUUUCAAAUAUUUAACAUAUACUAUCAGAAAAAAAUAUUUAAGUUAUAUUAUCGAAAAAAAUAGUUUAACUUAUAUCUUCAUACUAUUUUAUCAAAAAACAGUUUAAAUUAUAUCUUAAUAAUAUUUUUUAAUAAAUUUAAAAUUUUGUUUAAUUCACAAAUAAGUUAUUUUAAAAAUAUAUGUUAUUAGUCUUAUUAUGUGUCAAAUGUUUCUUAUGGGUCAAGUUAAACUUAUAUACAUUUUUAUAAAGGAUAUUAUUUCUAUAUAGGGCAAAUAAUUCAUUUGAACCAAGUAUUUUUAAUUGACUGUGUUAUUUGUGAAGAAAAAAAUGUAGCUUUCAUCUACAUAAUUUUAUAAAUGAUGCCUAUACAAAAAUAAAAUUUGUUUAUAGGAAAAGUCUAUUGUUAAUAUUUUUAUGAAUGAUACUUACAAAAUAAUAUAUUUGUAUAUGGAAAAAAAUAAUAUAUCGAUCAAAAAUAAGAAAAAUAUGUAUUGUUUAUUGAUAUUCAUAUAAUUAAAAAAAUAAUUUAAUAAAUGCGUGACAUUGAUGUAAAUACGAAAACACAUAUAAUAAUACUAAUCAAAUUAAGAUAAAAAAAUGUAUCAUUUAUUAAAAUUUAUAUAAUAAUUAAGUAAUGAUUGAAUAAAUGUCUCAUGUAAAUACAGGAAAACAAAUAUAUUACUAAUCCAAAUAUAAAAAAAUAUGUAACUUAUUAAAAUUUAUACCAUUAAAAUCGUGAUUUAAUAAAUAUGUGUUCUUGAUAUAAAUAUAGGAAAAAUAUAUAUCCUUGAUCCAUCUAUUUUUAUAAUUGGUGUUGUUUUUAUAUAUGGAAUUUUUUUAAUUAUUAAUAUCUAAACAAAAAUAUUAUUUAGGCACGAAAAAAAUUUAAUCUAAAUAUUUUUAUAUAAAAAAACUUAUUUUUAUGAUUCAUGAAUAUAUGUCAUUUAUAAAUAAUAAGAUGUAUUCUACAAUUUAUUUUUUGAAUUAAAUCUGUCUACAAUUUUUUUAAUGAAUCAUUCUAUAAUUUAUUUCAAUUUUUUUAAAUAAAAUUUAUUUCAAUUUAUUUUUUAUUUUUAUUUUUAAAUUUAUUACUUUUUUUAUGUCCUUCAAUUUUUCUUUUCUUUUUUUACUUUCAAUUUAAAAUGAAUAUAUUAUUAAAAGAAACUGAAUGAUGCACUGUCGAUCAAUGACGACCAUGCAUAUCCGUAAAUCAAAUUGAAAAUUUUAAAGAAUUUAAUUGAUAUAUAUUGAUAGUGUAAAGAUUUUUUACACUGUCAGUUAAUCACAAUCAUUGAUUAUAUUUAAUUGAUAUAUACUGAUAGUGAAAUUUUUUAAUGAUAGUAUAUAAUAAUUAAUCUCAAUUUUAAAAUACUUAUAUAAUAUAAUAAUAUAAUAAAAUGAUAUAUUUUUGUGGGAGGAUAGUGUAAAACCUUUUUAGAAUGUGAGAGCAAGAGGAUUAAACCCAUAUAUUAAAUAAUCAAAUGCGUGUCCUAAAACAAAAUACGGACUGGUUCAUGAGAAAAAGAAUUUAUAAACGGACGGUAAGAGACCUGGUUAACUGUAGCUGAGGCAGUGAAAGUGAAUCCGACUCAAAACAAAAACCCUCGUUCUAUCUAUGCCACUGCCGCCGCCUCCUUGUUUAUGUUCAUUUCUCUAACUUCACCGCCGCUCGUACAAAGGUACAUCCCUAACCUCUCCUUCUCUUCUGUCAUCGUCUUCAAAUUCGAUUCUCUAUUUAUCCAUUUUUUCACAGGUUGAAUAAAUAUCUAGCUUCGGCGUUGAAUCGUGUUCGCGGAAUCUCCGAUAUGGCUUCCGACGGUGGCAAAAAGUUCGCUCGUAGAGACCGUCUUCGCGAAAUCGAGGUAAAAGUUCAACAAUGGUGGGAAGAGAAACAGGUUUUCAAAUCUGAACCUGGUGAUAAACCACCCGAACCAGGUCAAAAAUUCUUCGGAAAUUUCCCCUUUCCUUACAUGAACGGCUAUUUACAUCUAGGUCAUGCUUUUUCCCUUUCGAAACUCGAAUUUGCCGCCGCGUUUCACCGUCUUCGCGGUGCAAAUGUGUUGUUGCCUUUUGCUUUUCAUUGUACUGGUAUGCCAAUUAAAGCUUCUGCUGAUAAAUUGGCUAGAGAGAUUCAACAGUUUGGUAAUCCUCCGGUUUUUCCGGAAGAAGUUGUUGAGGAACUGGAGAGUGUUGCUAUUGUUGAAAGUGUAGGUGAUGAAAGUGGUGCUCCUGCUAAGUUUAAAGGGAAGAAAUCUAAGGUUGCGGCGAAAUCGAGUGGACAGGCUUAUCAAUGGGAGAUUUUGCGGAGUGUUGGGAUAUCUGAUGCUGAGAUUUCGGAGUUUCAGGAUCCUUAUAAGUGGUUAUCUUAUUUUCCGCCGUUGGCUAUUGAGGAUCUUAAGGCUUUUGGUUUAGGUUGUGAUUGGAGGAGGUCGUUUAUUACGACUGAUAUGAAUCCUUACUUUGAUUCGUUUGUUAGGUGGCAGAUGAGAAAAUUGAAGUCAUUAGGGAAGGUUGUUAAGGAUGUUAGGUAUACGAUUUUUUCGCCUUUGGAUGGACAGCCGUGUGCAGAUCAUGAUAGGGCUAGCGGUGAAGGUGUUCAGCCUCAAGAGUAUACUAUUAUUAAGAUGGAGUUGGUAUCGCCUUUCCCUGAGAAGUUUAAGGUUUUGGAAGGAAAGAAGGUUUUUCUUGCUGCGGCGACGUUGAGACCCGAGACUAUGUAUGGUCAAACAAAUGCAUGGGUGUUGCCUGAUGGGAAAUAUGGUGCAUUUGAGAUUAAUGAAACAGAGGUUUUUGUUACGGCGCGUAGGGCAGCUCUUAAUCUUGCUUACCAGAAUCACUCUAGGGUACCUCAGAAACCAACUUGCUUGCUUGAGCUUACUGGUCAUGAUUUGAUUGGACUUCCAUUGAAAUCUCCUCUUUCCUUUAAUGAAAUUAUAUAUGCACUCCCUAUGUUGUCUAUUUUGAUGGAUAAAGGUACCGGGGUGGUGACCAGUGUACCUAGUGAUGCUCCUGAUGACUACAUGGCGUUGCAUGAUUUGAAGUCAAAACCGGCGUUUAGGGCAAAGUACGGUGUGAAAGAUGAAUGGGUGUUGCCGUUUGAGAUUGUGCCUAUCAUUGAUGUUCCUCCGUUUGGAAAUAAGUGCGCUGAGACGGUUUGCUUGCAGAUGAAAAUUAAAAGUCAGAAUGAGAAAGACAAGCUUGCAGAAGCCAAGAAGCAAACAUACUUGAAAGGAUUCACUGACGGAACUAUGAUUGUUGGAGAAUUUUCCGGGAAGAAAGUUCAGGAAGUUAAGCCCUUGAUUAGGAGCAGGCUUUUGGAAACAGGUUAGUAUUCAACUUCAUAGGCUUUCUUUUUCUCUUUUGGUGUAUUUUCCUUUUAAAAUUACCAACAUAGUGUAAGUUUCAAAAAUAAUUAUCAAAUUGGGGCAAGUUUACAACAAGAGCAACCUGCAGAACAAAGUCCUCAAUUAUACACAAAACUGUACUCUUAAAAAAAAUUGGUUAUAGUUUCAAAAAAAAAUUGGUGGUUGUAGAUGUACAGUUUAGCAUAUAUAUAUUGCUUUCCAUAAAUCCAAGUUUCUAUUUUCUUGUCAAUAACAUUACUUUUGAAGGAUUAGAAUACUACAUCGUAUUUGCAUUUGCAUUUGGCACUAAUAUUCUGUUCUUAUGUACCAAAAUACAAUUUAAGAAACAAAAAUUCUUCAACAUUGAAGUGUUAACAGUUAUUCCUUUGUGGAGUACAAAGUAGCAUGACAUCUUUCAUAUAUUUUACAAACUCAUUUUUUCAGCAAUUCUGCUUUAUGUUCUUCUACUGUUAUUAUAGAGGAGUUUUUGCUAAUUUAUCAAAUGUUCCGGAUGUAUUGGUACCCCAUAUCUACUGUUGGGUAUAAGGCAUCUCUUCUCUUUUAUUCAUCAUAUAUUGUUAAAGAAAAAUUUGUUGAAACUUGCUCCCACAUCCUGUGUAAUACAAUCAGAAAUUGAGAGGCUAGAUUCAUCAAAAUAUUAUAGUAACAUAUUGUUAAAUGAGGUAUUAAAAUAGUUGUGCUAAUAAUGAACAGAAAUUAAAUUAAUUGAUGAUAUGAUUUGCGUUACUUUUUAGCAUGCAAAUGUUAAUAAUUAUUUUGUUCCUGCAUUAUUGUGAGUCAUCUUCUGCUCAUUACUUGAAUUUUUUAUCUUGCACUUUCAGGUCAAGCUAUUAUAUACAGUGAGCCAGAGAAGCGGGUGAUGUCAAGAUCUGGUGAUGAAUGUGUUGUAGCUCUGACGGAUCAGUGGUAUAUUACAUACGGGGAAUCAGAAUGGAAGAAGUUAGCUGAUGAAUGCCUGUCUAACAUGAGCCUGUAUUCCGAGGAGACACGUCAUGGAUUUGAGCAUACUUUAGGCUGGUUGAACCAAUGGGCUUGCUCACGAUCAUUUGGUCUUGGGACACGCAUACCAUGGGAUGAACAGUUCCUAGUUGAGUCUCUAUCGGAUUCUACCAUUUACAUGGCUUAUUACACCAUUGCACAUUAUUUGCAGGAGGGUGACAUGUAUGGAUCCAGUGAAUCAUCUAUCAAACCUCAACAGCUGACUGAUGAUGUCUGGGAUUAUAUUUUCUGUGAUGGACCUCUCCCUAAGUCCACUGAUAUUUCAUCAUCCGUUUUAGAAAGAAUGAAGCUCGAGUUUGAGUACUGGUAUCCAUUUGAUCUUCGGGUUUCUGGUAAAGAUCUUAUCCAAAAUCACCUUACCUUCUGCAUUUACAACCAUACUGCAAUUUUCCCCAAACAUUACUGGCCUCGUGGGUUUAGAUGCAAUGGCCAUACAAUGCUCAAUUCUGAGAAAAUGUCCAAGUCCACUGGAAACUUCAGAACAAUUCGUCAGGCAAUUGAGGAGUUUUCUGCUGAUGCUACACGGUUCUCUUUGGCUGAUGCUGGCGAUGGUGUUGAUGAUGCAAAUUUUGUCUUUGAGACAGCAAAUGCGGCAAUUCUCAAGCUCACCAAAGAGCUUGCAUGGUAUGAAUCAAUUUUGCCUGCAGAAUCUUCUUUGAGAACUGGUCCACCGUCUAUUUAUGCCGAUCGUGUAUUUGCUAAUGAAAUUAACAUUGCUGUCAGAACAACUGAGCAAAAUUACUCCAACUAUAUGUUUCGAGAUGCCCUCAAGACUGGCUUUUAUGAUCUUCAGGCUGCUAGGGAUGAGUAUAUAUUGUCAUGUGGGGUUGGCGGUUUAAAUCGUGAUUUGGUGUGGCGUUUUAUGGAUGUGCAGACACGCCUUCUAGCACCUAUCUGUCCACAUUAUGCAGAGUUUAUUUGGAGAGACAUUUUGAAGAAGGAUGGCUUUGUGGUGAAGGCAGGUUGGCCAACAGCGGAUGCUCCUGACCUUACACUAAAGAGUGCCAACAAAUAUCUACAGGAUUCUAUUGUGCUGAUAAGGAAGUUGCUUCAAAAGCAACUUUCAGGCUCAAAGAAAGGAAAUAAGAAGUCCGCUCCAGUUGUAACGCCGGGACAAAUCAAGGUAAAAUGCUUGGUAUAUGUGAAUGAGCAAUAUGACGGUUGGAAAGCUGAGUGCCUUAGUAUUCUCCAAAACAGCUUUAACAAAGAUACCCGAACUUUUCCUCCGGAUUCAGAAAUAAAGGAGGCGUUACAACAGAGUUCUUUUGGUCAAUCUUCUGAAUUUAGACGUAUUCAGAAGUUAUGUAUGCCUUUCUUGAAGUUUAAGAAGGAAGAAGCAAUUGCAAUUGGGGCUCAAGCCCUGGAUUUGAGAUUGCCAUUUGGUGAAAUUGAUGUUCUUAGGGAAAACUCUGAAUUGAUUAAGAGACAGGUAAGUUCAAAAGAUGUUCUUGUGGAAGAUGUGACCAUUGUAUCGGCAGCAGAUGCUGAUUCUGUGGCUAAAGCCGGAUCUCUUGUAACUAUAUUAAACGAAAAUCCUCCAUCUCCUGGAAGUCCUACUCCCAUCUUCUUUCCUAAUUAGUAGAUACUGGGUAAGUUUCUGGAAAUUCCCCCUCUUAAAAUAGGUCACACUUCCUACUUUUUUUCCUUGUUAAGUUUUUUUUGAAGUUUAGGGUCAAACCUUGAGUGUUGUGAUGCUUGUCUUGAUCUGACUUAAAGAUUAAUAUAGCUUUUCUUCCAUAUCUUGUCAUGUGUUUCUUGUUUGGAUGGUGCAUCCUCCCCCUGGUUCAAGUAAAAAUUUAAUUCAUUAAGCCCCUUUCAGUCAAUAUUUUUUGGUUGAAAUUUGGAUGGUUGUUUAUGAAUAGAUGCUCACAAGCUCUAAUUUUAUGGAUGUAUUUGGUACGUCUUACUCGUUAUACAACACGAAUCCAUCAAACUGAAAAGCAGUGGCCUAGGCUCUUUCUCUUUUAUAAUUUGACAAAACAAAUUGGUUGUGGUUUACAAGGCACAUAAAUUGCAAUAUUCAUGUCAAGAUGAAGGAUUUGCAAAAUGCAGUUGUCAUGGUUUGUUAAUAUCCCUCUUGUCUUAAAUGUAUUUGUUUUCCCAUAUUCAAUAAACUGUGUUAAUUGGGAGACAUCUAUGUAUUAAGUGUUUGGCUGAGUGAAGUCUGUUUUGCACGGUGAGUUGGUGUUGUGUGAAAAGUGUUGGAUUCUUUUGGAUUUCGAGGAAAUGAAUACAACUUAAUCAUAAAAAAUCCUGUAAUGAGGCUUAAGAAGGAAUGGAAGGAGCAUCAUGUAAGUUUGGACAUGUUUUAAUGCAUCCGUUUUGGUUUCAUUUUGCAGGAUCUCUAUGAAUGGAAGAUGUGAAUCUCAAGUUAAAGAUUGGAACCGCAGCAGCCAAGUCUGUCUCUGUUGGCAGAAAUCUUUUUGAAAACAUGCUGAAAUUUUGUUUCAUUGUAUCUUCAAGAACCUAGUGCAUUUACAAUUAUUAGGAUCGUAGUACAGUUGCAUUACGCCGACUAACUUAAUUUAUGAUGCUUUAUUUCCAGUCAACAAUUCUGUGUCCAUUAGGAUUAGGUAUGUUUUUGUUUUGUUUAUCGGUUUAUGCUGGGGGGAAGACUGUUCGAAAUUAUUUAUUUGGAAAGUUGAUUUUUGAGAUUUGAAAAGUUUGUUAUGAUAUUAUUCAACUUGGAAAAUUGAUAAAUGACUUUAGAUGCAUGAAUCUCAUUAUGUUCAACAGAAGAAACCUGAUCCUCAUAUUGGGGAGCUUUGAACUCUGCUAGUAGUACCUGCUUCAAAUCAUUAAUCUGCAGGUUGAUAUAACGAUGAAAUCAUAAUCUACAUUAUAAUCAAGCAAGAUUCGAGUAAACCUUGCUAAAAUUUGAUAGACAUAUUUUAUAUACAACAUGAUGGUGAAAUAUUCAAAACUUUGCAAAGAUCCUGUUUAGUGGUCGGAUUAGAAACAAGAUAUAAUUUGUAUUUUAGUGUUUGAUAAAGUAAUAGAAUGAGAUAAGUUCCAUUUUGUAUAGUUAAAUUUUUUAUCCUGUAUGAAUUGUUAGAAAUCAAUGAUAAGAUAACAGUACUAAUUUAUGUAUAUAAAAUAUUACUUAAAAUACAAAAUUGAAAUUCUAAUAUAAUUAUAAUUAACUAAUAAAAAUAUUUUCAUAUUAAAUUAAAAACUAAAAUGUUAAUGAUUAAAUGAUUGAAAUUUGAAUAUUUUAGAAUAAAUAUUAUUAAAAAUUGCAAAAACAAAAAUGUUAAUUUAAUUUUUUAACAUAACCAUCCUUCUAGGAGUUUUUGAAAUUGAGACUAAUGAAAAGGUUUUAACUCUUUUCAAUUUGGGAGUUAUUGAGUCUCUUCUCUAAACUUUUUUUGUUUAACAAAUAAUUAGUGAAACCUUGUUUCUAGAGGCGGUCUUCUACUAAAGAGUUGGAGCAUGUUUAUCUUUAAAUUUUUUACUUUUCUUUCCUAUCUUUAGGGUGUAAAUGUCGUCCAAGCGAUGUGUUAUGCCUCCUCCCUCACUCAUUUCCUCUACAAAGUUCACUUCGUGUGUAACACUCGGGGUGAUCAAUGUUUCAUGUACUAUGGUUUUGUUGUUCCUUAUCUUAUAAUUGGCAAGCUUGAACAUGAAGUUCGUCAGUCGGAUUCUGUUCUUUUAGAAUAUGUUGAAUUUCUACUUUGUUAAACUUGGCUAUAAUCACCUUUAUGACCAAUAGAUAUUGCUACAUGACUAUAUUAUUAGCCCGUUAUUUCUCUUUGAUUCGUGAUGUGAUCGACUAUGAGUCAGAUUUGUUUGCUACUUCUUUCUCAUCUCAAAAGCUAUGCAUAAUCUGAUUGAGAAAAUCUCAUAUUCUGGUUAUUUGGUGUAGGGAAUUCAAAUCUUAUCGUGACCUUUGAGGUAAGUCUCAUGUUUCUUUCUAAUAUGAUCUCGUCCCUGUUGCCCUUAAUAUUAUAGGAGCCAUCAACGCACACCGUCUAAUUGCAAGGUGUGUGUGAUACCUCAUACAUGGUUUUCGCAAUAAAAUCGACCGAAGUUUGAGCUUUUUGAGGGCUUUUCAGGACUUGUAGGUGAUAUCGAAAUAUGAGAGUUCGAUGAACUAUUUCAUCAUUCUCCUUGUUAAGUCUGGUUUGAACAACACUUAUCUAAUGUGAUAGCUCAUCCUCUUUGUAAUGCAGUGUGAUAAGAAAUAAUUCUUUAGUUUUUUGGCUGUUGUUAUGAUGGCCAAAACAAUUUUCUCUAUCUUUUGGUGUUGUACUUUUGGACCUUGCAAUACCUUAUUAACGAAAUACACUAUAUUCUAGGAUGUCACAUCUUUUGGUACCAAAACAACUCGAAUGGUUUAGGCUGAUACAAAAAAAAGGAAGUAGCGAACUAUUUUUCCAACAACCUUCUUCUCCAACAACUAUUUUAACUAUUUCUCCAGUUCACCCAACUAUGACGCAUACAUUUUAUACGGUGUCAACGACACAGGUCUAGUACCAGGUACUAAAUAUAUGGCAGACUAAACUCCUCACUCUGACGGCAAGCCACAAAUAUCAUAAGGAAAAACAUCAUGAAACUCACACACCACAUGCAUAUUACUAACCGCAACAUCGCUCUUCACUCUCAAGGAAGCGGACAUCAUGAGUACCUGAUCAUCCUCCCUCAAGGAAAUCCCUACCUGACCGGUGGACGUGAAUCUCGAAUUCGUACUCUCUUCGAAACAUCGCUCUUCACUCUCAAGGAAGCGGACAUCAUGAGUACCUGAUCAUCCUCCCUCAAGGAAAUCCCUACCUGACCGGUGGACGUGAAUCUCGAAUUCGUACUCUCUUCGAAUUCGGGAAACAAUGCAGUCUUGUCAAAACAAUUGAUAUGAACAUGGUUGAACUCCAACCAAUUCAUUCCCAUAAUAAAAUUGAGUUGAUUCAGAGGAAAACCUAUCAAGUCAACUCCAAAGUUUCUAUCAUAAAUGGUCAAAGGACAACUCAGACACACCAUCGUAGUAGUCACCGAACCAUUAGCUAGGGUAUCAAGACCAUACUACCAAUCAUAGAAGACACUUCAAAAUUAAACUUAUUAACACAAUUAAGGGAUAUGAACAAAUGCGUCACACCAAUAUCAAUAAUAGAAACCAUAGAAACACCAUUAAUGAAACACGUACCUCAAACCAAAUUAUUUGAUCUCGAGACAUUCACACCAUUAGAAGAAAACACCUUUCCACUAGCUUGCGAGGAAUAUGGCGCUUUUCUCGGUUUCUGGCAUUGGGUAGUAAUAUGACCUGGUUCUCCAUAAUUAUAACAAGUAAAAAUAGUACUCUUGCACUCAUCAACAUGCUGCCCCUACUUCCCACACUUGAAACACUUCGAACUCGUGCUCUUGCACUCAGCAGCAUGAUGACCUAACCCUUCACACUUGUAACAUUUUAGAUAAGCAGGAGUGUCUCCCCCAUUUCUCUCUUUCCCACCCAUGGUCUUCUUCUUAGGCGUAUGCUUUCCCUUAUCAACUAGAGUCACAUACAAUUGACCAUAAUUCAGAUUCCCACUCUUUUUAUCACUCACACUCUUGUAGUGAGCAGAUCUGACCCUAUCCUUAUCAUAGAUCUACACUUGUUAGAACCGAAAGAUCUCCUGAUAACCAAUGAACUGCUUGAUGUAUAGAUGUAAGCCACUCUCAAACUUCACACACUUCGACCCUUUAGCUUCCACACCAUUAUAGUGAGGACAAAAUCUUGACAACUCCUCAAACUUAGCCGCAUAGUCAACCACAAUCAUACUGGUUUGCUUCAACUACAAGAACUCGAUCUCCUUCUUGAUGCAAACAUCAGUUGGAAAGUACUUCUCUAGAAACUCAAUCUUGAAAUUAGCCCAAGCAAUCUCUGUAUUAGCAGCUUCCAUCCUCUGACGGGUAUUCUCCAACCAAUAUCCAACUUCCUCGUAUAUCAUAUAUGUCCCAAAUAACACCUGUUGCUCAUAAGUGCACACUAUAACUUUGAAGAUCUUCUCAAUCUCAUGAAGCCAAGUCUGAUCACCCUUAGUAUUGUACCUUCCCUUGAAAGUAGGAGGAUUGUUCCUCUGAAACAUUCCCAGCCCACGAAAUUCAUCAGCUCCACCAUUCUGAUUCUGAUUUUCCUGUAAAGCUUUAUUCGCUCACCCUUAGUAUUGUACCUUCCCUUGAAAGUAGGAGGAUUGUUCCUCUGAAACAUUCCCAGCCCACGAAAUUCAUCAGCUCCACCAUUCUGAUUCUGAUUUUCCUGUAAAGCUUUAUUCGCUUACGCCAUCACCUAAACCAUCGCUCCAAGGGCACCCACAGUUACUUGAUCGUUUCUACCUCCAACCAUAUAUUUUUGCACAACCAGAAAAGACAGUUUAACUAAUCGUAAAUAGUAAAGCAAGCAAUAGUUAACAAAUUCAAGCAUCGACAAUGUUCGCACACAUGACGCACACUAGGGUACAAACUAGUUCACAACCUAGGCCGAAUGGACCGAUCGAGCUCUCAUACCAACUAUGUAACACCCCAAAAAAACCCUACUUCCCACACUUGAAACACUCCGGACCCGUGCUCUUGCAGUCAGCAGCAUGAUGACCUAACCCUCUACACUUGUAACAUCUUAGAUAAGUAGGAGUGUCUCACCCCAUUUCUCUCUUCCCCACCCACGGUCUUCUUCUUAGGCUUAUGCUUUACCUUAUCAACUAGAGUCACAUACAGUUGACCACAAUUCAGAUUCCCACUCUUUUUAUCACUCACACUCUUGUAGUGAGCAGAUCUGGCCCUAUCCUUAUCAUAGAUUUACACUUGUUAGAACCGAAAGAUCUCAUGAUAACAAAUGAACUGCUUGAUCUCUAGAUGUAAGCCACUCUCAAACUUCACACACUUUGACCCUUUAGCUUCCACACCAUUAUAGCGAGGACAAAAUCUUGACAACUCCUAAAACUUAGCCGCAUAGUCAACCACAAUCAUACUGGUUUGCUUCAACUACAAGAACUCGAUCUCCUUCUUGAUGCAAACAUCAGCUGGAAAGUACUUCUCUAUAAACUCAAUCUUGAAAUUAUCCCAAGCAAUCUCUGUAUUAGCAGCUUCCAUCCUCUGACGAGUAUUCUCCAACCAAUAUCCAGCUUCCUCGGAUAUCAUAUAUGUCCCAAAUAACACCUGUUGCUCAUAAGUGCACACUAUAACUUUGAAGAUCUUCUCAAUCUCAUGAAGCCAUAUCUGAUCACCCUUAGUAUUGUACCUUCCCUUGAAAGUAGGAGGAUUGUUCCUCUGAAACAUUCCCAGCCCACGAAAUUCAUCAGCUCCACCAUUCUGAUUCUGAUUUUCCUGUAAAGCUUUAUUCGCUCACCCUUAGUAUUGUACCUUCCCUUGAAAGUAGGAGGAUUGUUCCUCUGAAACAUUCCCAGCCCACGAAAUUCAUCAGCUCCACCAUUCUGAUUCUGAUUUUCCUGUAAAGCUUUAUUCGCUUACGCAAUCACCUAAACCAUCGCUCCAAGGGCACCCACAGUUACUUGAUCGUUUCUACCUCCAACCAUUUAUUUUUGCACAACCAGAAAAGACAGUUUAACUAAUCGUAAAUAGUAAAGCAAGCAAUAGUUAACAAAUUCAAGCAUCGACAAUGUUCGCACACAUGGCGCACACUAAGGUACAAACUAGUUCACAACCUAGGGCGAAUAGACCGAUCGAGCUCUCAUACCAACUAUGUAAAACCCCAAAAAAACCUUACUUCCCACACUUGAAACACUUCGGACCCGUGCUCUUGCACUCAGCAGCAUGAUGACCUAACCCUCCACACUUGUAACAUCUUAGAUAAGCAGGAGUGUCUCCCUCAUCUCUCUUCCCCAUCCAUGGUAUUAUUCUUAGGCUUAUGCUUUCCCUUAUCAACUAGAGUCACAUACAGUUGACCACAAUUCAGAUUCCCACUCUUUUUGUCAUUCACACUCUUGUAGUGAGCAGAUCUGGCCCUAUCCUUAUCAUAGAUCUACACUUGUUAGAACCGAAAGAUCUCCUGAUAACCAAUGAACUGCUUGAUCUCUAUAUGUAAGCCACUCUCAAACUUCACACACUUUGACCCUUUAGCUUCCACACCAUUAUAGUGAGGACAAAAUCUUGACAACUCCUUAAACUUAGCCGCAUUGUCAACCACAAUCAUACUGGUUUGCUUCAACUACAAGAACUCGAUCUCCUUCUUGAUGCAAACAUAAGCUGGAAAGUACUUCUCUAGAAACUCAAUCUUGAAAUUAGCCCAAGCAAUCUCUGUAUUAGCAGCUUCCAUCCUCUGACGGGUAUUCUCCCACCAAUACCCAGCUUCCUCAGAUAUCAUAUAUGUCCCAAAUAACACUUGUUGCUCAUAAGUGCACACUAUAACUUUGAAGAUCUUCUCAAUCUCAUGAAGCUAAGUCUAAUCACCCUUAUUAUCGUACCUUCCCUUGAAAGUAGGAGGAUUGUUCCUUUGAAACAUUCCCAGCCCACGAAAUUCAUCAGCUCCACCAUUCUGAUUCUGAUUUUCCUGUAAAGCUUUAUUCGCUUACGCCAUCACCUAAACCAUCACUCCAAGGGCACCCGCAAUUACUUGAUCGUUUCUACCUCUAACCAUAUAUUUUUGCAUAACCAGAAAAGACAGUUUAACUAAUCGUAAAUAGUAAAGCAAGCAAUAGUUAACAAAUUCAAGCAUCGACAAUGUUCGCACAUAUGGCGCACACUAGGGUACAAACUAGUUCACAACCUAGGCCGAAUGGACCGAUCGAGCUCUCAUACCAACUAUGUAACACCCAAAAAAAAUCCUACUUCCCACACAUGAAACACUUCGGACCCGUGCUCUUGCACUCAGCAGCAUGAUGACCUAACCCUCUACACUUGUAACAUCUUAGAUAAGCAGGAGUGUCUCCCCCCAUUUCUCUCUUCCCCACCCAUGGUCUUCUUCUUAGGCUUAUGCUUUCCCUUAUCAACUAGAGUCACAUACAGUUGACCACAAUUCAGAUUCCCACUCUUUUUAUCACUCACACUCUUGUAGUGAGCAAAUCUGGCCCUAUCCUUAUCAUAGAUUUACACUUGUUAGAACCGAAAGAUCUCCUGAUAACCAAUGAACUGCUUGAUCUCUAGAUGUAAGCCACUCUCAAACUUCACACACUUUGACCCUUUAGCUUCCACACCAUUAUAGCGAGGACAAAAUCUUGAUAACUCCUAAAACUUAGCCGCAUAGUCAACCACAAUCAUACUGGUUUGCUUCAACUACGAGAACUCGAUCUCCUUCUUGAUGCAAACAUCAGUUGGAAAGUACUUCUCUAGAAACUCAAUCUUGAAAUUAGCCCAAGCAAUCUCUAUAUUAGCAGCUUCCAUCCUCUGACGAGUAUUCUCCAACCAAUAUCCAGCUUCCUCGGAUAUCGUAUAUGUCCCAAAUAACACUUGUUGCUUAUAAGUGCACACUAUAACUUUUAAGAUCUUCUCAAUCUCAUGAAGCCAAGUCUGAUCACCCUUAGUAUUGUACCUUCCCUUGAAAGUAGGAGGAUUGUUCCUCUGAAACAUUCCCAUCCCAUGAAAUUCAUCAGCUCCACCAUUCUGAUUCUGAUUUUCCUAUAAAGCUUUAUUCGUUUACGCCAUCACCUAAACCAUCGCUCAAAGGGCACCCACAAUUACUUGAUCGUUUCUACCUCCAACCAUUUAUUUUUGCACAACCAGAAAAGACAGUUUAACUAAUCGUAAAUAGUAAAGCAAUCAAUAGUUAACAAAUUCAAGCAUCGAUAAUGUUCACACACACGACGCACACUAGGGUACAAACUAGUUCACAACCUAAGCCGAAUGGACCGAUCGAGCUCUCAUACCAACUAUGUAACACCCCAAAAAACCCGACACCAUUUAUUUAUGAAAAUAAACAUAUAAUUUUAUCAACAUCGGUUUUACACAUUCUCAACAUGCAUCUUUCUCAAACUUAUAACAUAAAUCAGCACCAGAGCUCAAAAAACCAUUGAAACCGUUUAUUUGUCUCAAACACAAAAUACUUCACAAAAUAAAUCAAAACUCUCAUAGCACAAAAGUAACAUAGUAACCCAUCCUAGUGUUACAUAUCAAAGAGACAACUAAAAUAUCUCAAAAAAAUAAAAUAAUGAAUAAGCCCUCUACACCAUCCUCCAUCUCAACACCAGCUAGUGCUCAUCUACAUGAGUAUCUGCACCACAAGUGUACAAAACAUCAGGAAAAAAAAUCAGGGGGUGAGAAUAUAUUCAUUAAUGUUAGCGGUAAAAAAUAUAACAAAGGAUAGCAUAAUUCAUAACACUCACCAAUCAUAUGAAUCAUUCACAAAAAUUACUCUAUUACAAUGCAUAUAUGUAUGCAAUGCAUAAACUCUUCUACUCUAAUGCAUGUGAUACCAAAUUUGAACAUCAGAGUUAUGUUACUGAUUCAUCCACUCACCGAUGGUUCCUCUCUAAACCUAAUUCCUCUAUGAAUAUGGUUCCUCUUUGAAUCCAGAAUCGUCACUGGUCCCCUAUUCUGAACCAACAACUCGUCCCUGGACCGAAGUUCGUACACCUAUCUCCAAUAUACCUUAUGCAUGAAAUGCAACAAAACAAAGAUCAAUGCAUAAAUUAUCAUCGGUCCUUCUAUGAACCCACACCAUCACCAAUAUAAGGCCAACACUAUAGUUGCUCUCUGAACUACACAUCUCAACAUAAGGCAUCAUAAUAUAUUAUAAUUAUAACACAACAUUAUUACUCAACAACGCUCACCAACAAUGUAAGAAAAUAACAUUACGCAAUCAUCAAUAUUCAACAAGGCUAACUCAUAAUUCAAUAGAGCUUACUGAUGACUCUUUCACUUUUUAUUUAAGAAAUUAAGAGUCAUAAGGCAUAUUCUAACCUCAACUCAACUACUCAUCAACUCGACUCUGAAUCAUGUCAGACGACUCAACAAUUCACUCAUCUUAUAAACACCACAAGAAAACAUUACAUUCAGGUUCUCCUAUACAUAUUUAACCUCCGAAGACCUUACCAUAUAGUAGUAUUACACAUUAGCUUUCCAACGCUAGAAACCGCACCACAAACAGAGUCACAGAACUCAAGUUAUGAUGAAAAUAAUAUCUGAACAAAAUCAGCCUUGUCUGAUUCGAAUCAUCUUGUUUUCCUGAUUCAAAUCAAAUAAUCCAGAAGCAUUUUCUUUCUAUAAUUUGGUCUCUGAUUCGAAUCAGGUUAGAAUUUUGAUUCAAAUCAAAAUUGACUGUAGUGUUUUUUCUGUUGAAUUUUGACUCAUGAUUCAGAUCAUGUUGAAACCUUGAUUCGAAUCAAACUAGUCAGCUAUGUUUUCAUGGGAAUUCCAUUCCUAAGCUCAAUUUCUCCAACCUAGACUUACCCCAAUCCAGUUUUGAACACGAGUAAUCACACCUACACAUAUAACACCUAACACAUCAAUUACCACACAUAUUUGGCAUUAUAACAUCGAUUCAUCACCAAAUCAUCAUUAUGUUCAUCAUCUCAAAACCCUUAAACACGAAUAACACCACUCAGAACUUUCACACAUCAAAUUUACACGAAAUUCAGUAAUUAAUACAAUAUGAAAUCAGCAUCCCAACACAAUGAUCUAGAGAGGUUUGCAUAAUCAUCUCAAGGACAAAAACCUCAUCAAUGGAGAAAAGAAAAAGGAACAAGGAAGAGGAUAAGGAUCUCUCUCUAUCCUUUAUGUAAAAUACACCCAAUAUGAAUAGUUCCCCCCUUAUCGCCUCGAAUUCGCAAAAAAAGGUUGCAACUUGGCUAUGAAGUUUUCUUCUAGCUAGGGUUGUCUCUUCCUCUCCACUUCUCACUUUUUCCAAGUUCUCUAAUGUAUUCCCCCUUUUCUCCCAAUAUUUUCUAUUAAAACAAUUAAAAACUUAAUUCUAUUUUUAUUUUUAAUUAUCACCAUAAAUUCCACCAACUCUCUUUACUCUCAUCCUUUUCCUUAAAUUAACCCACAAUUCUAUUUUUCUCCCCAAACCACAAUAUUUAUUAUUUUCUAUUAUUUUAAUAAAAUAAAUUAAUAAUAAUUCUACCCACUCCCAAAAAAUCAAACAAUCAAAUAGUUCAAUCUUAAAACUCUUCAACUUCAAACAAAAUUAAAAAUAAACAAAAAAUUGGGGUGUUACACAGACCAUAAAGUGAAUCAAGAGUUUGAUGAAAAUUCACUUUUUUCUAGUUAUCUACGAUGGGAAACCUUAGUGGCUAGACACUUACCCGAGAGGCGUCUGCGCCGGUUUGGGUAUGUCCAAGAUAUCCCACGACCAGUCCCUGCUGUUCCAUCAGAGGGCAUUGAUAGAUGAUUUAUGGGUAACAUUACCAGAUAUGCCCGUGCCAUUCGAGAUCAUGCAGUGAAGGUUUAUUUCCCUGCGCAGUGUGUGGAUGGCUACUUAGAGUGGUACCUUACUGUAUCACACCCUCGUAUCAUCCCACCUAUUGAGCAUGAAAAUGAUGUUAGACCUUCUAGUGAUAGGGGAUCUUCUGAUGAAAUAUUGCCGCCUCCACACGGUAUGGAUGAACUGAAGGAGAAUUGCGGUCCAAAACGCAACGGAAAUUAAAAUUUUCUCCUUUAGAGAUCCUUACGAAUAGUCAUGAUCAGUGAGAUAAUAUUUACCUCUUGCGACGAUUUAAACCUUUGGUGCAUAUCUCUUAUGACGAUCAAAACCUUUGAUGCAGAUCCACGGAGCGAUCACGAACGUUGAACGAUGACAACGUCUCUACUCAGUCUACACGAACGGAUUCCUUCAAUCUCAGUGCUAGCUGGUACGAAUGAAGGCUUUGAGUGUGUGUGUGUGUGUGUGUGUGUGUGUGUGUGUGAGAGAGAGAGAGAGAGAGAGAGAGAGAGAGGGAGGGAGAGAGAGAGAAAACGAAAAUAAUGCAACCGCAAUGAAUGCUUCUGCACAAGGGUUCUAUUUAUAGAACCACUUGUGUGGGCUUCAAGCUAAAAGCCCACUUAAGUGUAUUUUGACCCAUAUCUUAUAAUAUGCCCAAAAUCACUUAAGUCCAUGGUACCUUACCAUAUUUCGUAUUCUACUCAAGUACACUGUACCUUACGAUGUUCUAUAAUUCACUUAAGGGCACCGUACCUUACGGUAUUCCUUAGUUACUCUAUCUCUCAUCAAUCCGUCUUGGUUGUGACCCUGUAGGUUUCGUGACGUUGGCAAUUAUAUUAAUCACGCAUUUAACAUAAUAAACAGUGAGCGAUAUCUGCAACACAUCACUGCUACCAAGACACGAAAAUGUCAUGUGAUUUAACAAAACCUUUUGUGAUAAUACUUAUGUGUAUAAUUUCCCUUUUGCCUUAUGUCUAUAUGAACACAAGGCAUAGACCGUGUCAUCCUUGUCAGUUCAAUAUUGGGCCAUAGACAUUUACCUGUUAUGCAGGAUGGACAAAUUCCAUCUAGUCACUCAUGUCCUCAGCAUGCUUCGUGGAGUACCCAUCAACUGUCUUUAAUGGUUAUCCAGUUACGGACAACGUUGGAUUCAGCAAUAAGCACUCGACUCCACAUCUAGGGUCCAUAGUGGUUUCAGGUCGAAGAGUGGUAUACACACAUUAUCACCAUGAGAAUAACUUAUGACACUUGCAUAACUUUCUAUAUAGUAUUCUCAUAGCGGGUCAAUCCAGUAUAAAUAUUACUCCUAAUAUUCAUACCUAUGUUUAAGACUUGAUAACGGUCUUUAUCCAUGAUCCAUGAGAUGUGAUAAUCAGUCUACAAACAUAAUAGUCUUAAUGCUUUAAUGUUAUCCCACUUCACAUUAAAGCUCGACUACGGAUACUUUAAGAAUAGUGUCCUUAUGUUUAAUGUGAUCUCAUGAUUAAGUCAUACUUCAUACAUUAAACAGACUAGCUAUUCUAGGGACUUUAUUAAAUAAACGUAAUAAAGAAAAAGCCUUUUAUUAUUAAUAAAUAAUUCGAUACAAGUACCAAAAGCAUUGGCCUCUAGGGCUUACACCAACAUGAACAACAACGUUUACAGAUGAUAACAAUCAUUUAUGGAUAACCUCGUAGGUUUGGAAAAUUCAGAUGGCGAGGUUUAUACUUUGGCAUCACAGACAUUACACUCAGACAUUUGCAUUGGACAUUUUAUUAGAUAAUAUUUUGCCGCUUUCAUUAUUGCAGGAUGAACAUAACUUAACAUUUGACAAAUAGCAUAAUACAUGACGAUUAACAUAACUUUAGACCGAAGAUUACAUAACUUAACAAAACAAUACUUCCUCUGUCUCAUAAAAAGUGUUUCAUUUUCACUUUUUCUAUGUCUCAAAAUAAAAGUCUUUUUAGAAUACCAAAACAAUAUUUAUUAUUUUUUCCAUUACUAUACUCCUAUUUAUUAACUUUCACUCUUUUCAACAUACUCCACUAACUAUAAUAAAUAGUUAUUUUAGUAAACAAUACUAAUUAUAUAAUUAAAAUCACCACAUCUAAUCAUUUUCUUAAGAACCGCACAGAAUUCAAAUAAGACACUUAUUAUGAGACGAAGAGAGUGAUAAAUAACAAAACCUAGACACUACUAGAUGAUUGUGGAUGUUUCAACAUCUUGAUCAUAUCGUCGACAAAUGUAGAAACUGUCACAUCAAACUCGAUCAGUCCCUUUGUUAGUCUACAAUGAUAUAUUCUCCACAUAACCUUAAAUUUUCAUCAGUCUUCAACUCAAUAUGGUUGUAUUUCACAUUUCCACCAGUAUCAAUCCAUGGUGCACGAAACCCUAUCAUACCCACCUUUCUGUUCUCGGUGUCGGACAACAUAUUAUUCAAUUUCGAUCUCAGAAGAGCGAGACAUGUAAUGUCCUCCAGGAUCCCAUAAUCAACAUGUGGUUUCACCCAAGUACACACAUGCCAUAAACCAAUAAUGAGGCAUUUUAAGAUUUUUUUAUAAACAAAACACGAUCCUUAUUUAUACAUGUUUGGAUUCAUUCUGGACCAAACACAAUUUCCGGUGCAAUCAUAACCGUAUAAAACUAUUGACAAAAUCUCAACCAUUGAAAAUGACAUUAUCGAUUUUUUUAAGCUCCUCUAAAAGUCUAGUAAAUGCAGGAUGUUUUUAAAAAAUCCGAUAAUUUUAGACUACCGGAUUUUUCAAAGUUUGCAAAGUAUCCGGUACAACAUGAUAUUUUUAAAAAAUCCGAUAAGUUUUCUCACACCCGAUUUUUUUAAACCAAUAUAAAUGCAUAUUUAACUUUUAAGAUAUACUACCAGAUUUUUUAAUUUAUCACGAUAUUUCAUUUAUUUUAUUGGGUUUUUCGUGAGCCAUUUUUUGCCAAAAUUCUGACAAGUAUAAUAAGGAUAUUACGGAAAAAUGUGGGGUGGCAAGAAAAAUUCUUUCGAGAUAGCAAUGCACAAACCUAUAUCGCUAAGUUAUGGGCCUAGAGGCCCAAAUCUGAAAAAAUGAAAAAACAAGUGAAAAAUAGAAAAUAAAAUAAAACUAAAGAUAAUUCUAAUUCGCUGCACAAUCGCUUCAGAGUGUGAAGAAAGAGAAUCAGUGAAGAAGAGGUUUCAAUUCAAUGGCGGUUUCUUCUCUCUCUACAACGUUCGUUCCUUCUCUUUCUCUCUCUUCCAAACCGAAGCUCCAAUCUCUAUGCUUUCUCUCCGGUAACACUUUGAGGUUUACGAAUUCAAAGCCUCUUCAUUCAUCAACUGUGGUUCAUGCUGCUCCGGAAGUGUUGGUUUCCGCUGAAACCAAAGAUGUUGAGUCUGUUGACGCUGGCGUUCAGGUUUGUGAAUUUUCUUUUUUGCCUUUUUUUUUCUUUUCAUUUUUGUUCAUGUUCAUUUAGUAAUGAAAUUUGAUGAUAAUUUAAGUAGCGAUGAAAUUUGGUUUCGAAUUAAUUGAAUUUAGGAAAUUGAAAACUGAUUUGUGUGAAUUGAUUCUAUAAAAUUGAUUCAGAGUAAAAAGUGACUUGAAGAUAGUGGUUUAUGUUUGGAUAAAUUUCGAACACUAAAUUUAGGUGUAGAAAUCACAAAGCUACAAAUCCUAGCUUCAAGUAUAAUCAAUUCUAGAAAACAUAAUCAAACAUGUCAAAGUCAAUUAUAGGCUCCAUAAUCAAUUUUGAGUGUUCCAAAAUAAAACUGAACAUACACUAAAAUUAAGUGGAAUGGAGUGUGAUUUUUGUUUGAGUGUAAUAGUGAGUAGCUUGAAGCUUAAAAUCAAUAGAACCAAAAACUUCAAAUUUUAGUUUCAAAUUGGAAUCAAUUUUGAAGGGAACCAAACAUAAACUAAGAAGAUGGAAGUGAUUAGAUGUAACCAAGUGAGUUAAAGUCAUCGGAAUGUCCAACAUCGGCUCGUGUCAGACACGGAACUCACCUUCAACUUGUUACAUUGGUAAUGAAUAUUUUGAAGUUUUCUCUUAGCUUGGUUAAUUAUGUUUAUAAAAUGUAUUAACUGUGUUGAAGUUGGUAUUUGUGACGUUGGAGUUUGUUUAAAGUCUCAAAUUGCUUAAAUUUCCGGGCUGUUAAUUGUAUAAAUAUGUGUUUGAGCUAACUUUUUCGGUUGAGAUCCAAGCAUAUUUAAUAUGGUAUUAAAGCCGGGUUAAGGACUGCAAUGUGGACAUUUGAC
rnacentral:lncRNA from 1 species